CAUUGCUUCAUAUCAUCUUCUUCUUCACCAAUUGUCUUAGGCAGCCAUGGAAAUGGAGAAACCAACCCUGCAACUCUUGGCCAGCAGCUGCAAAUAAUUUGGUUAGUAAUUUCCUUGUUUGGUGUGUUAAUUCUUUAGAAUACCUUUGUUAAUUACCCAUUAAUUUUAAGAAGGGGGCGUGACCAGUAGCUUAGGAAGUUUGUUUUAGUUAUUGAAUGUGCUAAGUAUUAACAGAAACCAUAAUCGGAUUAUUAGUGGUGUCGUGUUGGUGCUUGGGCUGUUUUGAUUAAAGCAAACUGCGGGAAAAUUCUGUUUUGGCAUUAUGUAUAUGUUAAAUGUGAUUAUGAGUAUAUAAUCCAAAGGAUGAAUACAAUAAGGUAGAUGUGUUGCGAAUUAUAAAACGAAUUAUCGCUCGGUGUGUCGUUGCUUCGCUGCUAUGGUUGCCGAGACGAAACUGUAUUGGGGAGGGAGCUGUUUAAUAUGAUUUGUUGGGUUAUAUGUGUUAUUGGUAUUGUUGUGGAUAAUUUGGGUUGUUGUCGGAUUGGGACGAAGUAAGGAAAAUAGGGGAAGUGCUGCCGAAUUUUCGUUUGAUUAUUAGCUAGCUUACAAGAAAGUAAAGCGCGAUGUUUAUCUAAUUGCGGCACGAUUGUUGCUUGUUAUAGAUUAAUAGCUUGAGCAGUAAAUAUUGGACGUGCGGCUCGAUUAUACGGUAUGUAACGCUGUCCCUUCUUUCUUUGUUUGGCAUGACUUUUAAAAAUAAGCAAAUAACGGACAGGUUUGAUACGUACCUCUAGAGCGUCUAGGUGACGUAUAUUCUUUCUUCCACAAUUAUUCCUCUAUAUAUCGGCUAUGUCUAAGGCUAUGAUGAUCUCUCAUAUCUAUGGUAGUGCUUCUUAGAGUCAUUGAGAUUUUACGUUUCCAUAUCGUAUUAAAGGUUCAUAAUCUUGAUAAAACAUUAAUCUUUGGUAAUACUCCUUGCUGGUUCACGUUGAUUGUUCUAUUGAGUUAUAAGAAAUGAUUUUAAUUGCAUAUGGUUGCUCAUAAUAUUCUGCUCGUGCAUAGAGUCAUUUAUCAUUUCACCGAGUCCCGGGCCGGGUAAUGUUCGUGCGGAGUUUCUUGCAUAUGUCACCGAGUUCCUCACUAGAGGGCCGGGUAUGUAUAUUAUAUAUAUGAUUGGUGAUGAGGAUGGUUAUGAUGAUGAUGAUGACGGAGAUGACGUGAUGAUUAUUUUGCCGAGCGCCUUACUAGGGAAGCUGGGCACCAUAUAUGUUAAAUAUAUGCAUGAUUUUCACUUAAAAGGGUAUAUGUGUAGCGAUAUUUUGUUUCGACUUGCCAUAUUGGUAUCCUGUCAUCUUUACCUUAUACUUUACAUACUCAGUACAUUGUCCGUACUGACCCCCCCUUUCCUCGGGGGGGCUGCGUUUCAUGCCCGCAGGUGUAGACGCACAGUUCGGUGAUCCUCCCGCCUAGGAUAUCUACUCUGCUGAUUGGGAGAGCUCCACUGUUCCGGAGCCCAGUCGUUUUGGUACAUAACUUUUUGUGUAGUCUUUUGCUCGUCUAUGGGUAUGGCGGGGCCCUGUCCCGUCGAGUUUCAUUACUGUACUCUUAGAGGUCUGUGGACAUUAUGUAGGUUGUAUAUAUAUGUUUUGGGUAAUGGUCUGGACAUGGUUUAUUUGGGAUGUCCGCUUGUACAGGGGCAGCCUUGUCGGCUGCGUACAUCAUUGUGUAUUGCGUAGUGGCAACCUUGUCGGCUUACGUAUGUUAUUAUGCUUUGAAUAGUGGCGGCCUUGUCGGCUCGCGUAUGUCGUUACAGUUGAAUGGUUAUGACUCCUUACGAGACAGGUCCUCUUUAUAUAUAUAUGACGUUGGGGUUGGCUUGAUUUGAUUAAAUUCCAUAUUGUCUUAGUUUCAGUUGGUUAUACUUAGCAGGUUUGUAUGUGGGUGUCCAAAACGGGCACUAGUCACGGCCCAUCGGGUUGGGUCGUGACAAAGAGUGGUAUCAGAGCGGUUCUUCCUCGGAAGUGUCUACAGACCGUGUCUAGUAGAGUCUUGUUUAUCAGUGUGUUGUGCACCACAUCUAUAAACAGGAAGCUACAGGACAUUUAGGAUGUCAUUCUUUCUUCUUAUUCUAGAUCGUGCGAUAGAGCUAUAUUAACAGGAUAAUCCCUCUCUAACGAAUCCGUGUGUUUUCAGCUAUGCCUCCAAAGAAAGCGACAACGGCCCAGAAGGGAAAAUCGGUAGCAGAAGGUACUAGUCAGACCCGAAGAGUUACUAGGGCCCGUGCCCAGUCUAUGCGUGGUAUUAUGCUCCAGUCGGAGAGCUCUGCUACACCGCCACCGCCAGAGGAGCUUAGAGCAGCAGCAACUCCAAUUCGGGGGACACCACCAGCCCCCGAGGCCCCAACACCUUAACCUCCAGCUCCUCAGUCAGGGGCGGAGGAUAGGGCCAUGAGAGAUGCGGUUCAAUUGCUGACUAGAUUAGUGGCAGAUCAGGCUCGCAGGCAUGGACUAGGAGUUGAUCAUGCGGACAGAUCUGAUAGCUUAAGGGCUCGUGACUUCUUAAGUUGUAAUCCUCCAGAGUUCUUUGGGUCAAGACCCCAGGAUGAUCCGCAAGAGUUUAUUCGUCGAAUGCAGCGUACAUUGAGGAUAAUCAAGGCUUCGGAGACCGAGUCUGUUGAGUUGGCUACGUACCGUUUGCGGGAUGUAGCUAUUAAUUGGUAUGAGUCUUGGGAGUUAUCUAGGGGUGAGGGUGCUCCUCCAGCAGUAUGGGAUGAAUUUGUGGAGGAUUUCCAGGGCCACUUCCUGCCUCCAGAGAUGAAGCGAGCUAGAGUCGAUAGAUUCUUGCAUUUGAAGCAAAAUGGCAGGAGCGUUCGAGAGUAUAGCCUCGAGUUUGAUUCAUUGGCUAGGCAUGCGCCUACUAUUGUGGCUGAUAUGGCAGACAGGGUACAUCGUUAUGUGAUGGGAUUGGAUCGUUAUAUGAUUGAUGGUUGUAUGGCAGUGACUCUUCAGCCAAGUAUGGACAUUGCUCGGGUGCAGGCAUAUGCACAGGGGGUAGAGGAUCGGCACCGGGGACGUCAGCCAGAUAGAGAUUAUAAUAGAGGCCAGCAUAAGAGGGCUAGAUCAGCAGGUUAUCCUGACGAGUUUCGAAGCGGGCAGUCUCAGUAGCAUGUUAGAUUUUCUUCCCAGCCAGCACAGAGUGCACCCCCACGUUUCAUGGGUAGGGGGUUCGAUCGUAUGGGAUAUUCAGAAGCUGGUCAGAGCUCUAGGGCGUUAGGGUCACAGAUGGGCAGGAGUUUGAGCCAGUCGAGGCCACCUUUGCCUCAGUGUUCUCAUUGUGGUAAGUCCCAUCCUGGGGAAUGUCGUUGGGCUACAGGUGCGUGUUUUUCUUGCGGCCGUCAGGGCCAUACUAUGAGGGAGUGUCACCUUAGAGGUAGUGCAGGUGGUAUGGCACAGCCUACAGGGUCCGUUGCUGGUUCAUUUUCUUCUGUGGCUAUGCGCCCUACGGGGCAGGGUAUUCAGGCGCCAGCAGGCCAUGGUAGAGGACGUGGUGGAGCUUCCAGUUCUAGCAGUGCCUCGAACCGUAUAUAUGCUUUGACUAAUAGGCAGGAUCAGGGGGUGUCACCUAAUGUGAUCACAGGUAUAUUAUCACUAUUCUCCCGAAGUGUGUAUACAUUGAUAGACCCAGGUUCCACCUUAUCAUAUAUAUCUCCCUUUGUUGCUAGUAGGAUCGGAAUAGAGUAUGAGUUGAUAGAACCAUUUGAGGUAGCUACACCUGUAGGAGAUUUUGUCAUAGCUACGCGAGUAUAUAGGAAUUGUUUAGUAGUUAUAUAUAGUCGUCGUACCGUAGCAGAUCUAAUAGAGUUAAAUAUGAUUGAGUUUGAUAUUAUCAUGGGCAUGGAUUGGUUGGCUGCUUGUUAUGCUAAUGUUGAUUCAGAGGAAAGAUAGUUCGAUUUCAAUUUCCAGGGGAACCGAUUAUAGAGUGGAAGAGAAGUACAGUAUCGCCGAAAGGUAAGUUCAUUUCAUACCUCAAGGCCGGGAAGAUGGUUAGAAAAGGCUAUAUGUACCAUCUUAUUCGGGUGCAUGACAUAAAGGCAGAGGCACCGACUCUUCAAUCAGUCCCGGUAGUUAAUGAAUUUCCCGAUGUAUUCCCCGAGGAACUUCCAGGACUUCCUCCAGAACGAGAGAUAGAGUUUACUAUAGAUGUACUGCCAGAUGCCCAGCCUAUAUCUAUACCUCCUUAUAGAAUGGCACCUGCUGAGUUGAAAGAAUUGAAAGAGCAAUUGAGGGAUUUGCUAGAAAAGGGCUUCAUCAGGCCUAGUACGUCACCUUGGGGAGCACCGGUACUGUUUGUGAGGAAGAAGGAUGGGUCUCUGCGGAUGUGCAUUGAUUAUAGGCAGUUGAACAAAGUAACAAUAAAGAACAGGUAACCCCUCCUAAGGAUUGACGAUCUAUUUGACCAGUUGCAGGGUGCAAAGUGUUUUUCAAAGAUAGACUUGCGGUCAGGUUAUCAUCAGGUGCAGGUAAGGGAGGCAGAUAUUCCAAAGACGGCAUUCCGAACCAGAUAUGGGCAUUAUGAGUUUAGAGUGCCGUCUUUUGGGCUGACUAAUGCUCCAGCGGUGUUCAUGGAUUUAAUGAAUCGAGUAUUUAAACCAUUCCUUGAUAUGUUUGUUAUUGUAUUUAUAGACGAUAUUCUGGUCUAUUCACGUUCAGAAGAGGAGCAUGCAGACCAUUUAAGGACGGUACUUAGGGUGCUUCAGCACCAGAAGUUGUAUGCUAAAUUUUCUAAGUGCGAGUUCUGGUUGACUUCAGUGGCAUUCUUGGGGCAUAUUAUUGGACCUGAUGGUAUUCGGGUAGACACGCAGAAGAUUGAGGCGGUAAAGACUUGGCCCAGACCUACGACACCUACUGAGGUACGCAGCUUUCUGGGGUUAGCAGGAUAUUACAGGAGAUUUAUAGAAAAGUUUGCCUCAAUUUCAGCGCCUUUGACAAGGCUAACUCAAAAGGCAGCCAAGUUCCAGUGGACUGAUGCUUGUGAGCGAAGCUUCCAGCUAUUAAAAGACAAAUUGACUACAGCUCCAGUCCUAACUCUUCCGGAGGGAUCAGAUGGCUAUGUUAUUUAUUGUGAUGCUUCGGGUGUUGGGCUAGGAUGUGUAUUGAUGCAGCAUGGCAAAUUUAUAUCCUAUGCCUCCCGACAACUUAGGAAGCAUGAAAAGAACUAUCCUACUCAUGAUCUGGAGUUAGCGGUCGUGGUUCAUGCCUUGAAGAUAUGGAGACAUUAUUUAUAUGGUGUCCAUGCGGACAUCUAUACAGAUCAUAAGAGUCUCCAAUAUAUCUUUAAACAGAAGGAGCUGAACUUACGACAGAGGCGGUGGUUAGAGUUGCUAAAGGAUUAUGAUGUUGAUAUUUUAUAUCAUCCAGGGAAAGCGAAUGUUGUAGCAGAUGCUCUUAGCCGUAAGUCCAUGGGUAGCUUGACAGAUGUACAACCAGAAAGGAGGGAUAUGGUUCGGGAGAUUCAGCGGCUAUCCAGCCUUGGAGUCCGUCUAGCUAAUUCAGAAGAUAGUGGAGUUUCUAUUCGAGAGGUUGUUGAGUCCUCAAUCAUAGAUGAUGUAAAGAGACACCAAUACAAGGACCCUAUUCUGGCAAAAUAUAGAGAUGCAGCUCUUCAAAAUGAAAAGACCCCAUUUAAGGUUACACCUGACGGAGUAUUACGAUAUGAAGGCAGAUUGUGUGUACCCAAUACUGUGGGGCUACGACGGUAGGUUAUGGGAGAGGCACACUCUGCCCGUUAUUCUAUUCACCCAGGGUCAACAAAAAUGUAUCAUGACCUCAGAUGCUUAUAUUGGUGGGAUGGCAUGAAAAAAGACAUAGCGGAGUUUGUUGCUCAGUGCCCGAAUUGUCAACAAGUCAAGAUUGAACAUCAAAAGCCUGGUGGAUUAUUACAGGAGAUAGAGAUCCCGACUUGGAAAUGGGAGAUGAUUAAUAUGGACUUCAUUACAGGCUUACCUCGCACUCAACGAAAGUAUGACUCUAUAUGGGUUAUUGUAGAUAGGCUGACGAAAUUGGCCCAUUUUCUUCCAGUUAGGACUACUUAUUCGGCUGAAGAUUAUGCGAGGUUAUAUGUCAGGGAGAUAGUGAGACUUCAUGGGUUCCCACGUCCAUUACAUCAGACAGAGGAGCUCAAUUUACAGCCAACUUUUGGAGAUCGUUUUAGAAGGGAUUGGGGACACAGGUGAACCUUAGCACAACAUUUCACCCUCAAACUGAUGGGCAGGCUGAGCGUACUAGAAGAUAUGUUGCGGGCCUGUAUUAUUGACUUCAAAGGUAGCUGGGAUGACCACUUGCCGCUCAUUGAGUUUGCCUAUAACAAUAGCUACCAUUCUAGUAUCCAGAUGGCUCCGUACGAGGCCUUAUAUGGGAGGAAGUGCAGAUCACCUAUUGGUUGGUUUGAUGUUGGCGAGACAAAGUUAAUAGGCCCGGAUGUGAUUCAGCAAGCUGUUGACAAGGUGAAGCUUAAUCAAGAAAGAUUAUUAGCAGCCCAGAGUCGACAAAAGUCAUAUGCAGAUAAUCAGCGUCGAGAUUUGGAGUUUCAGAUUGGUGACUGGGUAUUCCUGAAGGUAUCACCCAUGAGGGGUGUGAUGAGAUUCGGCAGGAAGGGGAAGCUCAGUCCGAGAUACAUUGGGCCUUAUCAGAUUGUUCGUAGGAUAGGCAAGGUUGCCUAUGAGUUGGAUCUACCAUCUGAUUUGGAGGCGGUACAUCCAGUCUUCCAUGUAUCGAUGCUACGUAAAUGUAUUGGUGAUCCUUCUAGAGUAUUCCCCGUAGAUGAUGUUUAGGUAACAGAGGAGUUGUCAUAUGACGAGAAACCCGUAGCUAUACUUGAUCGCCAGGUUAGAAGGUUACGUAUUAAGGAUGUGGCUUCCGUCAAAGUGUUGUGGCAAAAUAACAAUAGGGAGGAGAUGACUUGGGAAGCGGAAGAUGAAAUGAAGAAUAAGUAUCCUUACUUGUUCCCCGUACCUGCAGGUAAUUCAAUUCCUAGCUUGACUAUAUUGAUAGAUAAUGAGAUUAUGUAGCUGUGAGGAAUCUGUAAGUUACAGAAUGCAGGUUAAUAGGUAUAACUUUUAGAGAGACCUCGCUGGAAUUUGUUUUUGCAAGACGCUAACUUAACAUUCGAGGACGAAUGUUCCUAAGGGGGGAAGGAUGUUAUGCCUCGUAUUUUUUUAUACGUAGUGCGCAUCGUGAUCUAGUAGACGUAAGUCCGGGGAAUGAGAUUUUAUUUUAAGUUCCAAGUGAUUAAAGAAAUAUUAGGCAAGGAUGUUAAUUCCAAAUGUGAUAUUAAGUAUGAUUUUGCUAAUGUAAGUGUCAUUAACUUUAAGUGAGGGAUUAAUUAGUGGGUUAUUAGGAUUAAUUUAAUCCGGGGGCCCCACCACUCAUAAUUGGUGGCUGAUUAAUAUUUAAUUCAGUGGGCCCACCACUCAAGGCAAAAAAUUAAAAAGAUCAGAUUAUGAGCUGGCCUUAGUGGACAGGUGUAGAGGGGGGAUGCCUCCACUUCAUACUAUUAAAUGAGGUGGAGAAAUCCACUCCAUGCUAAAUAAAGUGGUGAAAUGCAUUGCUGCAUAUCAUCUUCUUCUUCACCAAUUGUCUUAGGCAGCCAUGGAAAUGGAGAAACCAACCCUGCAACUAUUGGCCAGCAGCUACAAAUAAUUUGGUUAGUAAUUUCCUUGUUUGGUGUGUUAGUUCUUUAGAAUACCUUUGUUAAUUACCCAUUAAUUUUAAGAAGGGGGCGUGACCAGUAGCUUAGGAAGUUUGUUUUAGUUAUUGAAUGUGCUAAGUAUGAACGGAAACCAUAAUCAGAUUAUUAGUGGUGUCGUGUUGGUGCUUGGGCUGUUUUGAUUAAAGCAAACUGCGGGAAAAUUCUGUUUUGGCAUUAUGUAUAUGUUAAAUGUGAUUAUGAGUAUAUAAUCCAAAGGAUGAAUACAAUAAGGUAGAUGUGUUGCGAAUUAUAAAACGAUUUAUCGCUCGGUGUGUCGUUGCUUCGCUGCUAUGGUUGCCGAGACGGAAUUGUUUUGGGGAGGGAGCUCUUUAAUAUGAUUCGUUGGGUUAUAUGUGUUAUUGGUAUUGCUGUGGAUAAUUUGGGUUGUUGUCGGAUUGGGACGAAGUAAGGAAAAUAGGGGAAGUGCUGCCGAAUUUUCGUUUGAUUAUUAGCUAACUUACAAGAAAGUAAAGCGCGAUGUUUAUCUAAUUGCGGCACGAUUGUUGCUUGUUAUAGAUUAAUAGCUUGAGCAAUAAAUAUUGGACGUGCGGCUCGAUUAUACGGUAUGUAACGCUGUCCCUCCUUUCUUUGUUUGGCAUGACUUUUAAAAAUAAGCGAAUAACGGACAGGUUUGAUACUUACCUCUAGAGCGUCUAGGUUAUGUAUAUUCUUGCUUCCACAAUUAUUCCUCUAUAUAUCGGCUAUGUCUAAGGCUAUGAUGAUCUCUCAUAUCUAUGGUAGUGCUUCUUAGAGUCAUUGAGAUUUUACGUUUCCAUAUCGUAUUAAAGGUUCAUAAUCUUGAUAAAACAUUAAUCUUUGGUAAUUCUCCUUGCUGGUUCACGUUGAUUGUUCUAUUGAGUUAUAAGAAAUGAUUUUAAUUACAUAUGGUUGCUCAUAAUAUUCUGCUCAUGCAUAGAGUCAUUUAUCAUUUCACCGAGUCCCGGGCAGGGUAAUGUUCAUGCGGAGUUUCUUGCAUAUGUCACCGAGUUCCUCACUAGAGGGCCGGGUAUGUAUAUUAUAUAUAUGAUUGGUGAUGAGUAUGGUUAUGAUGAUGAUGAUGAUGACGGAGAUGACGUGAUGAUUAUUUUGCCGAGCCCCUUACUAGGGAAGCUGGGCACCUUAUAUGUUAAAUAUAUGCAUGAUUUUCACUUAAAAGGGUAUAUGUGUAGCGAUAUUUUGUUUCGACUUGCAAUAUUGGUAUCCUGUCAUCUUUACCUUAUGCUUUACAUACUCAGUACAUUGUCCGUACUGACCCCCCUUUCCUCGGGUGGGGGGGGCUGCGUUUCAUGCCCGCAGGUGUAGACGCACAGUUCGGUGAUCCUCCCGCCUAGGAUAUCUACUCUGCUGAUUGGGAGAGCUCCACUGUUCCGGAGCCCAGUCGUUUUGGUACAUAACUUUUUGUGUAGUCUUUUGCUCGUCUAUGGGUAUGGCGGGGCCCUGUCCCGUCGAGUUUCAUUACUGUACUCUUAGAGGUCUGUGGACAUUAUGUGGGUUGUAUAUAUAUGUUUUGGGUAAUGGUCUGGACAUGGUUUUUUUGGGAUGUUCGCUUGUACAGGGGUAGCGUUGUCGGCUGCGUACAUCAUUGUGUAUUGCGUAGUGGCAGCCUUGUCGGCUUACGUAUGUUAUUAUGCUUUGAAUAGUGGCGGUCUUGUCAGCUCGCGUAUGUUGUUUUGGUUGAAUGGUUAUGACUCCUUACGAGACAGGUCCUCUUUAUAUAUAUAUGACGUUGGGGUUGGCUUGAUUUGAUUAAAUUCCAUAUUGUCUUAGUUUCAGUUGGUUAUACUUAGCAGGUUUGUAUGUGGGUGUCCAAAACGGGCACUAGUCACGACCCAUCGGGUUGGGUCGUGACAGUAGUGGCGCCAUAUUUUUAAAUCAAACACAACUGCUGCUAGCUCUAGAUCACGGGUUGAAUAUUUUUUCUUUGUGGCAGCAGCUGCCUUGAGCCAUAAGCAAGAACUUUACGACGCUGCAUCAAUCCACAACCGAAUCCCACUCCCGAAGCAUCACAGUACACUAUAUAACCUUCUGUAAGUACCAACACAUGUGUAGAUGUUGAUUUACUCUUCAACUCUUGGAAGCUUCUUUCACACUCAGAGCUCCACUAAACUUUGGUUUCUUUGUGUGUUAAUGUUGUUAAGGGUGCAGCCAUGGAAGAGAAUCCUUCAACAAACAUUUGUAAUAACCUGCCAAUCCAAGAAAACUAAGGAUCUCCGUACGCGUUGUAGGUCUUGGACAACUUUUCAUGGCUUCCAUUUUCUAGUUAUCAACCUUAUUCCUUCCUCAUAUACAAUAUGACCUAGGAAUGCCACAGAUUUCAACCAGAACUCACAUUUAGAGAACUUUGCAUACAAAUUAACGACCACAGAGAAUUUGUAAAAACUGCCGCAAGUGAUUAGCAUGAUCCUCUUCAGAUCUUGAAUACACCAAAAUGUCAUCUAUGAACACUAUUAGGAAAACAUCUAAAAAUGGCUUGAACACCCUAUUCAUCAAAUCCAUAAAAGCUGCUAGUGCAUUUGUUAGACCGAAUGACAUGACUAAGAACUCAAAAAUGACCAUAUCUUAUUUGGAAAGUGGUCUUUGGUAUAUGUUUCUCCUUGACCCUCACAUGGUGAUAACCUGACCUCAGGUCGAUCUUUGAAAAACACCUAGCACCUUGUAAUUGAUCAAGAAAAUCAUCAAUUCUAUGGACGGGAUAUUUGUUCUUAAUCAUUACCUUAUUCAACUGCCGGUAUUCGAUACACAUUCUUAAUGAGCCAUCUUUUUUGCGUACAAAUAAAUCUGGUGCUCCCCAUGGGGACAUACUAGGCCUUCUGAAUCCUUUUUCUAAUAAGUCUUUUAAUUGCUCCAUAAACUAUAGCAAUUCUGCCAGAGCCAUUCUACACGGAGGAAUUGAGAUAGGUUGAGUAUCUUGAAGUGCAUCAAUUCCGAACUCUACUUCUCUUUCUAGAGGCAAACCUGGAAGAUCUUCGGGAAACACAUCUUGAAAUUCAUUAACCAACGGAAUGGAUUUAAGGUUUGGUGGCUCCACAUCUACAUUUUCACUCUAAGCAGAUGGCAUAUGUAUCCUUUGGACAUCAUCUUCUUUUCCUUAAGAUAAGAAAUAAAUUUACCUCUUGGCACCCCAAUAUUACCUUUCCAUUCGAAGACUACCUCUUUUGGAAACUGGAAAUGCACUAUCUUAGUUUGGCAAUCUACAGUAGCAUAAAAAGAAGCUAACCAAUGCAUACCCAUUAUAACAUCAAAAUAUACCAUGUCUAUCCCAACAAGGUCAACAAAUGUAUCGCGACCACAAACAGUUACAAUGCAAUUACAAUAAACCCUUCUAGCUAUAAUAGACUCACCAAACAGUGUAGAUACAUCAAAUGGCUUCACUAAUAAUUCUGGUGUUCUUUUGAACUUUUUAGCAAUCAAUGGUGUAACAUAUGAUAGUGUAGACCCCGGAUCAAUUAAUGCAUAUACAAUAUGUGAAUAGAUGGACAAUGUCCCUUUAACCACAUCUGGCGAGGCUUCUGAAUUUUUUGGAUCCCCUAGUGCAUAUGUGCGAUUCUGACCUCCACUAGAAUAGUUGCUCCCCUAGCUCCUCUACCAUGACCUGUAGUCGUAUGUAGGCCCCUACCUAAAGAAGGGAUUGAUGAGGUCGACACAGCAACUGAUCUAGUUAGUUGUGCAACGUCAUCCACUUCCCUAUGAAGGCAGUUUCUCAUCAUAUGCCCUGGUGUACCACACCAAAAACAAACAUCCGUCCCAAACUUGCAUGCACCUAGAUGAUUCCUCCCACAGUAUUUACAAGGCUGUAAUGUAGGCCUUGAUUGGAUCAUACUUCCCUCCCCUUGAUUACUUGCUAUUUGUGAGCCUUGGCUUUAACUUCAUUGCCCAAACCAAUUGCCCCUAAUCCCUUUGAUGAGUAAUGGAGCACUAGUUGUAGAGAAGAAAGAUGAUGGACUAGGUGGUAUUUUAGAGAACCGAUGCCUAAACUCACCUUGGGAUGGUGUAAACUACCCCAUGGAUCUGGCCCUCUUAGAAUGCCUGUUUCCGACUCUUGCAUCCUUCUUCUUUGCCAUUGAUCCUCCAACCUUUGUGCAAUAGCCUACAUCGUUGCUAUGUCCAUAUCUUUAUCAAACAAAGCAAUUGUACAUUCUCUAACAAGACAUGAAUCUAAUCUAUCAACAAAUAGAUGAACUCUAUCCUCCGUAGAAGGAGCAUACCUGGACAAGGAAUUAAAUUUGAGACUAUACUUUCUCACACUGAUAUUUUCUUGGUAGAAAUUUAAGUACUGAUUCGCACGGGCCUCUAAGAUCUCCAAUGGCAGAUAAUGAUCAAAUGCCUUAUGAACUCUUUCCACGUAAGUGAAGGUGCAUUUGUUCCCCUAGAUUGGUUCCAAGCUUCAUACCACAAUAUAGCCACACCCUUUAAUCUGUAUGAAGCUAGCUCAAGUGCUUCUUUACCAAUUACAUGCAUAAUAUCAAAAGUGCGUUUAAUUUGAUCUAUAAUGUCUUGCAAAUCUUCAUUAGGAUCUGACCCGGAAAAUGAUGGAGGAUCCAACCGUAUUCCAGCUGAUCUAUCGACACCACUAGUACCUACAACUGGACCUUCUUGCCUUUGGCCAUGACCAGCAACUAUACGAGGUAAAUAAUUAGACUGCAUUCCUCAAAUCUUGCUUGGUAGCAUUGAUAGGGGGGUCCUGAGGUUCAUCUCCCUCCUUAGUUCUUUAGGAGAUGGAGGCGUCGGGGAAGUCUGCGAUAUAGACUCAUCUUGAUCCCCACUUUGAACAACAUCACUUGUUGGUGGGUAGCUGAUCCCUUCAUGGGCAGCCACAUUUACUCGUUCACCAGUACUUUUACUACUUCUCAUAACCGGCAUCUUUGAUAUAACAAAACAAUCGAGAAAUAAGAUAUGAUUCACCUACAACACUGGUUUCUAUCGCACGAUCUAAGAAAUGAGACAACUCAUACAUUUCCUGUAGCCUCCUGUUUAUAGAUGUAGUGCACAACACAUCCAUAAGCAAGACUCUACACAGACACAACUUUGUAGACUCCUUAGUAUCACCUGCACUGAUACAACUUUUUGUCACGUCUCAAAACUCAUUAUGACGGAUAGGCACUCGAUGCCCUAAAGGCCUGAGAGAACCAACAUGCAACCUGUUCUUACUGUGCAUAUAACUAUAACAAUUGUGGCAAGCUCACCUAGGAUGCAGCGAUACAAAACAACAUAAGUAGGCCCAAAAGUUAUAUACAAGACUUGGCCGUUGAGGCCACGACUUCUAAAGGCACAACUGAACCAUGUACAUACGUCUACGAAACCACUAACAAAUCGAGGACUAGAUUAGGUCACGAUAGACACGGCCUUACCCCUACGAUACAAUACAAAAAUGAAUUUCCCAAAAACUCAAUAAAGCUCCGAAUAAACUUGAAGCUCACCAAAAAGUAGCAGAGUUUCGUGUGCUCUUUAUGAGGAGGUCUACAAGUUGGAUACCUGUGUCUCAAAUAUGAAAUGUAGCGCCCCUCCAUCCCCCCCACCCCCUGCGAGAGACGCCAGCAUGAAAAAAUGUACUGAAUAGGCAUUAGCAUAUGUAAUACGAGAGAUCAAUUGAAAUCAAAUUGCAACAUAUGAGUGCACAGAUUAGGAGAGAAGGCCACCUUUGCUUACUCUUGUUGGAUAAAUUAAGUUACAUUCUUUUCUUUACUUUUAUGUUAUAAUAUUUGCAGGGAAUGUGAUACAAGUUACCAACUGAUCAGUGGUAGAAGAGGAUGACCCAUGCUAGGCGUAUUAACCCUUUGGAUGCGGUCCUCAUAAUUACACAACUUGGGAUCGUCCCAUACUAGGCUUUCGCCCAUGAGCUGCCACCCUUCUAUACCAAUAGGGAUCGUCCCAUGCUAGGCUUUCUCCCUUGAGCUGCCAUCCUUAUGUACAAGUUGGGAUCGACCCAUGCUAUGCUUUCUCCCCUGGGCUUCCACCCGUAAUUAUAUAGAUUUCUUUAUUUAGAUUCUUUAAUCUUUGAGAUUGUUGUUUAUCAGUUCAUAACUCAUUUUAGAUUUUAUUUUGGUGGUCAUAAUCAUUUUUGAGAUAUGGAAGUAUGGACCAGUAAUAGAAGAAAUGAAAUAAUAUUUCAAGGAAAUAACAAUGACAUAAGCAAUUAUGUAACAUCAACACAUUACUUUAAGGGAUAAAUGACACAAUUGACUUCAAACAACAAAGAGGAGGAUUCAUAGACUUGCUAUUGCAAUUACCAUUUCCAUACCAGUACAAGGGGGAUAAUUACACAAGUAUAAAAUAGUGAACAAAUAAUGAAAUAGUUUUAUGCACUACGGAUAGGGGGAAAAUUGUUACCUAUUUUGGACACUGUACGUUUCCACUAUCUUAAGUAAGAGCAUAUAACACACUAAAUGACCAAGUGCAUUGACAUAUGAUGAAAUGAACAUUCACGUAAAAGGGAUGAGUAAUUAUGAAAAGAAAAUGUGCUAAUGCUAAUGAAUGUGGUGACAUAUGAUAAGAGGCUAAUGUGAAAGAUGAGAGAAAUCUCAAAUGAUCUUAAGUAAAUGUUACCAAAACGUACUCACCUAUGAGAGUGUAAAGCCAAUAAAGAGACCAGUCUCUAUGUACACUCUAAUGAAAGUAUUGAGACUGAUGUAUACUUAAUACUAACUAUGAGAUGAUAAAUCAUCUAUUGAGCUAUGAUGUACUCAUAAUAGAAGCCAACUUGCAUGAUGUAUGAGUUGAAUAAAAUUGAACUUUAUACUGAGCCCCAAUAGGCUAGCUAUGAGCAGUGAUGCCUUCUUUCGGGAAGGGCGGGUCUCCUUAUAUCUCUAAGUCUUUGAACGUAUACUGCAAAUAUAGACAUCUAUCGGUGUUCAAUUCCCAUGUACGUUGCAUGUUUUGGGUCACUUUUAUUGCUGAUUCCACCUUUUUUCGGUGUAGGGUAGACACUGGAUGUUAUGAUGGUCACAUGAUCUAUUUCAGUUAAGGUUGGAGUCCUCCGAGUAUGAAAGAUAAUGAAAUGAAUAAUACAGAAGAUGUUUGUGCAAGACAAUCAAGAGGUGACAAGUAAUGACAUUAGGUCAUUCUUGGUCAUUUCAGUUCAUGAUCCCGAUGAGAGUUUUAGAAUUCAUCCUAGGUAUGAAUGAACGAAUGAAGCAGACUAUAUGUUUUCUAAAGAAGGCCCUCAGGUUGAGGUCCCAUAUGUUGGGCACUCACUUGAGAUGUCUUAAUGCUAUAUCAACUAUUCGAAGGUCUCGCGUAUAUGAAAUAUAUAAUAUAUAAAACAUGAAUGUAAUGCAAUCAAUGACAUAAUCAAUAGAUAAUGGCUUAUGAAAUGUAAUGAAUACUUGAUGUAAUGAAUAACUUGUUGUAAGGUUAGUCAAAUCGUGUCCAAUAAAGUUUACAAUAAGUAAAUGGCAUAACUCUUAAUGAAUCCAAAUGUUAUAAAAAUGAUAAAGCCAAAUAAAUUGGCUUAUAAUGAGUUUAUAUAAUUUUCAAAAUAUAUUAGCCAAAUAAGAUUGUCUUAUAAUGAUUUCUUAUACUUGGCCAAUAAAACAAUAAUAGGAAUAGUCACUAAAGAUUGGUUUAUAAAGAAUUCAUGCCCAAAGUAAGCAAGAUCAUAAGCUUAAUGAUAUUCCCAAGAUCUAUACACAUUAUGCAAUCAACUAAAGUAUUGACUUACAAAAAAUGUAUUCAUGCCCCAGAUUGUAGUGAAUUCAUUUCCUUAAUUUCUUGAAUUACUUAUUUGAUUCAUUGUGGGUAUAGGAAUCAAUGAAUAAUUUCACUUGUAAGUAAAACAUAGGACCAAAGGAGUUAUUGAACUACACAACAAACAAAAGAAAAAGACUGAAAAAUAAUGUGUACAAAGAGGAGCUCUAGAGUUUGGAGGAUCAAAAAUUAAAAUCUUCGCCCGAGUGGUUCUAAAGUUAUGUUGAUGAUACUAAUUUCUUGUAAUCAUAUAGAAAAUGAGUUGUGUUCUUUGAAUUCAUUAAAAUACAUCACAUUCAUACCACAAUUCACAACAAAUGAAUUAGGAAAGUCUAAUGACUAGACUUUCCAGAAAUGGCAUGUUGCUUAGGAAAAGCAUUCAUUGAUCAUGCAUAUCUUUAUGUGUAUGUGUGCAUACAUCCAUACUUAGUACAAGUGGUGUACUAACGCCCUACUAUUUACUAUUUUCAUAGGUGCAGGUUAGAGGACAGGUUGACGACACUUGCAGUGGUUUGGACUUCACGUUUCUCCGAACCAUUUGGUAGGUCCUCCUGAUUUCGAAGAUUCUACAGAUUUAUUAUGGCCUUAGAUUUAGAAAAAUCUUGUGGAUGUUGUUCCCAGCCAUACUUGGUGCAUUCUUGUGCCAACUCCAUUCUUCUAUACUUUUCACACAAAUGUAGGUUAUGCAUGCUUAAAGGAUGUCUCUAUUAUUGAGGAGCUAGAUAUUCGAUCCCUAAGUUCAAAGAAAGAAAUCCUUAAUUCCAAGGAUGUCCUAUGUUUAGUUCACUGUGAAGUCUUUUGUAAUUGAAAUUAUGUAUCAUGAUAUAUGGGCCAUGUCCUAAGGUACUCUUAUGAUGUUGAUUCUAGGAUGCCAAAAAGAGACUAGAGUUUUAUGUGACAGUAAGAAAUGAAUAUGAUCUUGAAUUUAGCAAAGAAGGUAAUUUAUGUGGAACCAUAUAGAAAGAAGGUUAUGUAUCCUUGAAGUCAAAACCCAUAAUGGUAUCCUUCUCGUGUGAAUGGUGAGCUUAUGGUUGGUUAGCUGGAACAACAUCCUUUGGAAAAUCACUGAGCUAUCUUCUUAACUAUUGAAAGGCAACCCUAGGGGACCUCUUUGGUAAGGUAUGUUAUGAUUUUAUUAUGAACUAAGAUAAGGAACCUCUUCAGAUACUCCUUGAUUGAAUUGAUAUAUGAGAACAAAGGCUAGCAACAGGUGAGUAUGGUUUUGGGAGUAGCUCUAGUUGAAGGCGAGGCUAGAGGACAAAGAAACCAUUCAUAUUCCUUAACCAUGUGCCUACAUGGGAUGUGUUCUAGUCCUACCAUUGACAAGUAGAACACCCUUUAUCGGAGUAGGGUUUACUCCGGAUUCCAUGCUUAAAUACCAUUGUCUAUGUCAGUCAUUGCCUAUUCUCAUCAUGUCGGACACAUUCUAGUGUUGAAUGAGUUCUAUGAAGUUUAAGUAGUUAAAUGAGAAUAUAUAUAUAGACAUUGCACGAUUAGUCUUUGAUGAUGUUAAUAUGUGAGUCCCUAGGUUAUCUCCACGACCAUUAUGUUAAUGGUCUUACCUAUUAAAUGUCUCAUAAAUGAGUUAAUGGACAUAAUGACUUAAGUGAAGGUAUUUUAAUGAAAAAGCAAGUAUCUAGAGUAGCUCUGAGGAUUGCUCAGGCAGGCUUGAAAAGAGGGUAUGGGCGUUAUCUUCUUGUCUUAAUUUAGAGUAAUUCUAGGUAGUGAGUUUGAUUAAUGAAAUGAGAAUGAUCUUUUCCUAGGUAGUAAUCAGCAAAAUUUAGGUAUGCUUGAAGAGGGUGUAUGUGUGGUCUCUUCUUGUCCUACUUAAGUGAGUCUUAGGAUAACCAUGGAUGGGAGGAUUAUGUGUUAAAUAGGUUACUGUGAACUUUCUGUGAAGUCCUAUAAGGUUAUUGUAAGUUUCUAUAAAUUAAGUAUGACUUUGAAUGUGCCUUAAAUGUGAUGUUUGGUGUUUAAAUGUGGUUCUUAUGCUUCUGUAUGAAGUUUUAAUUUAAAAUAGAAUGUUUUAAUGUAAAUAUCUGUUUAUCAUAAGUUUAUGCAUUAUGUCAUACUUAGUACAUGCAUUGUACUAAUUCCAUACAUUUUGUCUAUAUCUAAAGUUGUAGGUGGAAUGUGAGAGACAUCUUGGAGCAAAUCUUGGAAUCUAGACUCUUUCAAUCAAAGUUGGGGUAUGUCCUCACUUGCUUCGUGGAUAUAACUAUCUUUAGAUUUCCUUUUUUAAUACAAGUAUUGUAAUCGACUAAGUUUAUAUAUUCGAUUGUAUGGACCAUGUCCCAAGUAUUCUUGAGUGUAAGAUUGCCGUAUGUUUAGGCUUAGUAUUUUCUAUGGUUUUAUACGAAAGAUGUUAUGAGAUAUUAUUGGUUUGAAAAGUUAUAAUUUCGCACUAAUUUUUAUGCAUGUAUGCAAUGAAUCAGGGCUUGUACAAGAUCUCCGAGAGGUCAAGAACACUGAGUCGCACUAUAAGAGUGCAAUAUCUUCUAGGGUGUGCUCUCGAGGUGUGACAAUCUUGGUAUCAAAGCAUAGGUUCUGAAGUAGUAUUUAGGAAUCGAAAAGUCUCAAAAAUCCAUGUCUAGUAGAGUCUUCUUCAUCGGUGUGAGUCGCGACACAUCUAUGAGCUAGAGUCAAUACGACGAUAGAGUUUUUCUUCUUUUCUACUCUUGUGUCAUGCUGUAGAGUAAAAGGGUUAUGAGUGUCACAUCCGGGAAAGCCUCCAAUAUGUAAUCGACGUCAUCGUCCUCUUUGAGGACUAUGACCAGCAUCUUAUCUUACAUCAUUACAUUCAUACGUAAAUCACUUCUUAGAAGAAAUUUGAAAACUUUUCAUUACUUAUACUUGGAUGUUUACCAUAUCUAUUGUAACACCCCGUAUUCUACGUGAACUAGUUCUCUGUACAUGUCUCUUAAAAAUUUCCUUGUAGUAUAGUUAUGGACUUGGUUUCUUAUGUAACUAGCUCAAUAGAAUAUGUUUGAAGUUGUAACACACCGUGCCUUCCAACACAUAUAUGAAUAAUUGAACUAAAAAAACCAUUCAAACUUGGGAUAGUAAAAGGUGGCAUUUGAUAUAAAAGUCAAUGUGGUCAAGUGUGUAUUUAGUACUACGGUCUUUAAAAUAAUUUAAGAUAGGGAAAAUGGUGUUAAAUAAUUGAGGUGCUUGCUCAACUGAACAAUGCUAGUAGGUGACAAGUGGGUGAUGCACCUACUUAGAAUUAGUGGACUGCAUUAUGAGUGAAAAAGGGCAAGUAGGUGAUGUAUAUACGUAGACUUACUGGACUAAAUUUUAAGUUAAAAGGAGCAAGUUGUGUGAUACACAUACUUAGAAUUAGUUGAUUGAAUUAUAAAGGAGCAAGUAGGUGAUGCACCUACUUAGAAUAAGCGAACUGAAUUUAAGUGAAACGAGAAAGUAGGUGAUGCACCUAGUUAGAAUAAGUGGACUGAAUUUAAGUGAAAAGAGCAAGUAGCUCAUGCAACUAAUUAAAAACAUGUGGCAGAAACUAACGAGGUGAUGCACUAUCUUGGUUAAAAUUAAAGGACCAUAUUAUUUCUCCAAUUUAUUAAGUGAAAACGUCCGGAAGGGACAUCUAAAGAACUCAAGCUUAUCACCCCCCUUAUCACUUAUUUUCAAGAAAAUUACUCCCAUGGAAAGCCAUAGAAACUCUAAAGAGUUCUGAUCUACAGCUUCAGUAUUAGAAUCUGAAGGAAACAUGUGUUUUUGAAGUACAAGUUGGUUCAACAUCUCCAUCUUAAGGAACUCAAGUGAAUAAUAUGAAUUAACAUCAAGGGGGAAGAUGACAACCUAAACCUUAAAGAAUCCAAGUCUUGGCAAUUGAGGUUUCUUUUUAUCAAGAUGAAUAAUUUGAGAGGAAGAUGGUUAACUCAUUAUUAUAUCCAUUUUUGUGCAGCAAGGUAUGUAAGGCUAUUCGAUUUCCUAUUUCAUUGAUAUGAAUCCAAUACUUGUAAGCUUUCUAUGUGCUCUUGGUAGUGACUGAUCCAUAAUGCAGUUUGUACUCCCUAGAGAAUUAAAGUGAGCAUUCUACUAUGAGUUUAUGAUUAAAUGUGCAUUUUUGCUCUACCAAGUGUUACCAUGCAUGGUUUAAACUUGUUUCAUUGUCAAAGUAACUCUGGCACAUAUUUCCCUUAUAUAAGUCAAAGUGAUCCUAGAUUACACAUCGUACAUAUGUUUAUAGGAUAGAUACACGAUCUGUCGUUGUCUUGCUAACUUGCUUCAAGAGUUUAUUCAAUCAUAUAUGUCAUCUUCUAACAUAUUCAUGUCUUCCCUUUAAUGGUUAUUACUCCCAUAGUGUUAGACUAUUAUGUUGCCUCACAAGAUGUCUACUUGCUUUAUUUUACAUUUAUAUGUAUGUACUUACUUGGAAUAUGUAUUUGUAUAUGUAUGUACGUACUUGGAAUAUAUAUCCGUCCUUAAGUAGAAUUUUUCCACAUUCUUCCUUGGUUCCACAUUCAUGUAUACCUUGUCUUUGAUAUUAGUUGGUGAGUAUUUGGCUAUCACAUAGAGUUCAAACCUCUUUUCUUAAAGUUACAUGUCUUCAAUUUGAGAUGUCGGAAAUGCGUUCUGAGUCAUUAAAGAAGUAUUACGUUCAUCACACCUCCAGCUACCCCCGAGAUGCAGACACGAAACUUAGGACCACAAGUGAUCCCAAGCUAACCCUCUUGGCAUGAUCAUGAGCAUACAAAAGAUAAGAAACUGAAUGCGGAAGCUAAAAUCAUAAUUUAAACUGAAAAUAUGGGGAAUAUCAUAUACCAUAAUUGAGAUAAAUGAAAUAUUGAUGAAUUUAAUACAAAGAAGUGAUUAACUUAAUACUACGCUAAAACUAACUAUGUUUGAAGUAAGCCUCUAAAUGACUAGAAAUACUAGGACAAGCCCCAGCUAAGUCUAGAAAAAACUAAAAGUAAAUGACUAAAAGACUGAAAUGAACUCAUGACUAUUGUCCUCGGAAAAUGAGGACUCACCACGGAAUCUGUUGAACUAGAGAUCGGGAAUCAAAUCUAAGUGUAAUCUGGAUGUUGAGAACCUGAACCUACAUCAUGAGAAUAUGUAGCUCAUGUACGCAUCAGUACUUGAAGGUAACGAACGUGUAGGAUAGAGUAAAGUUGAAAUAAAACAUAACUGAACAAGCACAAAAGAAAGUAUGAUAAUCUGAACAUGAUAUACUAAAUUUUGACCUAACGGGAUGCAAUGACCAAUUUAUCAGAUGCUGAAACUAAAUACUGAAUAUACUAAUAAAUGGUCAAUGCAAGAGAGUCCGACUGACUGUGGGAGCUACUAAUAAUCGAUAAUAAAACUAAAUUAUCUAAAUGUGGAGUCCGGUGUAUACUCCCCAUCGAGGACGCCAUAUACACUGCCAAAGGUAUAAAGGAAUGCUCGCAUGAUCACUAAGUUGAUUGCCCAUAGAGGAAACUUACAACCUACUUGGCUAAUAGCUCUAGGACUAAUUGGAUAUGCUGAACCCUAGUCCAACUCGGUAUUAUUCUACUCCCAAUGAAUUAUGUCAUUAACAAGAUUAUGAGUUUAUUUAAAUACUGGAUAGCUAAAAACUGAACAUGCAAACUGAGAAUGCAACAAUUAAUAUGGUAAUUAUGCAUUUAUAACUGAGGCAUGUAUAUCUGAAGUAACUGAAAUAUCUGACCUAUCAUGUGUAGUCAAGAACUAAAGAAAUACAUAGCUAGGGCUCAAAAAUUCAUGAAAUAACCUGAAUAACAACAUUACAAUCUCAUUUGGAACAUAUAAAUAAUAAAUUCAUGAAGUUCUAUUGAUUUUCUAAAAAUACUAGGUCCAAUCAUGAUAUGGCAAUAAAGAAUCUGAAUGAAAACUAAGGACCCAAUUUGUCAAAACAACCCACUAAUGAAACCUGACAUACCCUGUGAUGGAAUUCACCGGAAACACUUACAUUUUGGGGCUGGAACUACUGGAACCUUGCUGCGUUCUUGAACUAGGGUUCGUGACCUUUUUCUCCUUUCUUGCUUCUAAUUUUCUAUGUUUUGAUUAAUGAUUUGACUUAGGUAAGUUUUAGUUAUGUUUCUAGGCUUAAACUAACAAAAGUAUGAUGAUAUAGGGUCAAAACAACAUUUCUUAGGUUUAAACAUAGUGGGAAAAGACUAAAACACCCCUGACUAAAAGUUGUGAGAGUCACCGAUGGAGUCAACGGAUGAACUGUAAGUCAACUGACGAACCGUAAGUCGACAGACAUUUCGUACUGGUAAACCGUCGUUUCUGACUUAGAGUUGAAUCAGUUGGGGAAUCGACGGAUUUGACUGACUGACUGUAGUUCAACUGACGGUUCAUACUGGUCGACCGUCGUUUGCGAUUGAGAACUGGAGGUAAGCUGAUCAAUCAAUGUAGUUGACUGAUAGACCGUAAGUCUAUUGAUGGUUUGUACUAGUUGACCAUCAUGUGUGGCUUGUAAUUGAGAUUCAUUUGUCCCAUUGAUGGAGUCGACUGAAGGACCUUACGUUGACUGACGGUCCGUAGUUGGCUCCGUCGCUGGCACCUGCAAUUUCUGAAAAUCUGUAUUUUUUGUACUUUUUUAGAUACGGGGUGUUACAACGUUGGGGUCGCAUUUUCUUCCCAUGUCAUUGUCAUUAUCAUUAGUUCAUAUUUGUAUGCCUUCUAUUACUGGUUCGUAGUUCUAAAUCUCAACAAUGAUUAUGACCACCAAAACAUCAAUACAAAAUGAGUUGCUAUCAACAAAAGAACAAUCUCAAAAGAGUUAUGAUUAUCAAAAGUACAAGUCUCUAAAGAGUUACGAACAUCAAAGAAACAAUCUCAAUGAUUAAACAAAUCUAAGUGAAGAAACAUGUAUAAUUAUGGGUGGCAGCCUAGGGGCAAAGCCUAGCAUGGGUCGAUUCCAAUUGGUAUAAAAGGUUGGUAGCUCAAGGGCGAAAACCUAGCAUGGGCCAAUCCCAAUUGGUAUAAGAGGGUGGCAGCUCAGAAGCGAAAGCCUAGCAUGGGAAAAUCCCGAUUGGAUAAGAGGGUGGGAGAUCAGGGGAAAAAGCCUAGCAUGGGACAAUCCCAAUUGGUAUGGAAGGGUGGCAGCUCAGGGGCGUAAGCGUAGCAUGGGCCAAUCCCAAUUCGGUGGCAACUCAGGGAAAAAAUCCUAGCAUGGGCCGAUCCCAAUUGGUGGAAUUAUGAGAUUAGAAUCCAAGGGGCUAAAAUUCCUAGCAUGGGUCAUUCUCACCUACCACUGAUCAGCUGGUCAUUUCUAUCAUAUGGCUUACAAAAAAUAUAACGCACAGAAAAAUUAAGAAAAGAAUGCAACAUACACAAUUCCACAAGUAUAAGCAAAGGUAGUCUGUAAUCCUUAUCUAUUGGUAUUUGGUUUAACUUGAGCUCUCAUGUCACAUAUGGUUGUAUUAGGCCUUACAUAUUUAGUACAUUCUUUCAUACUGACGUCCCUUAUUUGGUGAGCUCCAGUUUGGUUUGAGGAUUUGCCGAGUCUUUGCUAUGUGUAUUUUCAAAGCAUGGAUUUUAAUAGAGGUUUUAUAGACACUGUAAAAAUAUCAUCUGUAUUCAUAGCUUCAAUUGUCACAUGUAUUGGUUAAGGUAGUCAACAUGUUUGUAUAUAAAGCUUUUCAUCAGUAAUCUGCAUAAUAGUUUACUUUCUCAUCGUAGGUUACCUGUAAAGCAUGUAUUCAUACGGUACAUGUUCGCCUCAACUAGGGUUGCGGUGUGACAUCUACAUAGACAUAUUAUUAUAUAUAUUGAGUAUACAUAGACCCUUUGUAUAGAAAGAUUAAAUCGCCUUCUACUUUUAUUGAACAUAAGUAUAUAAAAUAUAACAUAGUCUAAAAAUAGUGGUCUCAUUUCAUAAAAAUCUAUUGGGAGUAUAUGAAAUUUUUCCUAGCAUACAUUGAUGAAACAACACCACAUAUAGGUCAUACAACGUUUAGUAUCCAAAUGAAAAGGAAAGAAACCUAAGAGUCUUACUACUAAAAACAACAUCAUGGCUUGGUAGUGGCAUCGCCUUCGGAAAGUGAGGACCUACCCUACAUGGAUGAUAAAGAAAUCCAAGACUUCUUCAAUGUCGUCUCCAAAAGUCCUUCGACAACCGGAACCUAAAAUGCUGGGGAAAAGGUAGAAAUGGGGUUAGUACACCACUUGUACUAAGUAUGAGACCAUAUGCACACAUAUCAUGAGAACAUUCUAAAAGGGACAUUUCAUUAAGUAUGCAAUUUACUUUGAAAACCUGUAUGCACAUCAAGAAGACUAUACUAAAUCGUUUAGGCAUAUUCAUUAAGUCAUAGGCAUGUGCAUCACAAGACCAACAACAUCAACACUAGUCAAUUCAACACGCAUAUCAUGUAAUUGAAUACAAAGUCAAGUAACUCUAUCAUCAAGUCAUAAAUAACCACAAGCGUGAAUAAGAGUACAUUUCAUCAUAAGCAAAGUAAGACAAUUACCCAUCAACAUCUAUCAAGUCAGCAAGUGCAAUGACCAAGCACAGCCCCAUAACGUUACUCGAUGUAUUAACUCAACAAAAAUCUUGAUCAACAUCCCCCUUAACAUAAUAUGAUAUUUAAGAGCACAUAGCAUCAUACUUUCACAAUAUAGACCAAUACAUAUUCAUAAGUGACACCAAUCAACAUAUAGUAUCAACAAUGUGCAAGUUCACCAUAUACAUAUCAUGUACCAUUAUAAGCAUAUUCAUAAAAAAGAACAUCUGCCUAAGACUUCCCUUAAGGAUAACUAGUGCAAUGUUGAGGUAUAGUGUCAUACCCCUACCUAGACUAAUCUAAACCCCUUAGGUUAUCCUAGUUAGAGUUCAUUCCUUAAAUUCAUUUUACCUUUUUGGAACAUCUUGCCUUAACCGACAUAGACCACAUGAGCUAAUGUGGAAUUCGGUGUCAUGAAACCCUACACUGAAAGAAGGUUGACUACUUGCCAACUAGCUGGUAUUCAAGAACUAGGAGAUAUAGUUGGGAUCCUAUUUAUGAUACAUGCAUUAUAUUCUCCAAUCUCAAGGGUACUUUAGUGAUCCUCCGUAGUAUAUGUGGAAAGGGACACUCCUCACUCUAAUUCACUCGGUUACUAAGAUAGAGUACCUAUUUGGAAUGGCUUUAAUGUAUUUAUUAAUCAUCAUAGCUUAUUGUUGGUAAUAAGGUCUAACCCUUGUAUAAUCAUCAUCAUCAUAGCUCAAUAACAUUAUCCUUUCAUUACAAUUCAUAGAGGUGACGUUAUCACAUUAACAUUUUCUUAUCAUGAUAAGGCACAUUGUUAAAUCAUUCACCCAUCCUUAUAACAUUUACAUAUUAGCCAACACCUCUCAAACCAUAGUCAAGACAUUUUAAUUCAACAUUAUACAACCCUACUAUCAAUACUAUACAAUUCAUACUCCAAUACAAUAUCAUGACCUAAUCACAAUUAACCACAAAUUGAAGUAAAGGAUAGGGAUCACAAGACUUACUAAGUCUCCUUCAUAACCCAUCAUCAAGGUCAUACCAUCACCCUUAACUCAAAUCAAUUAGGGGGUAAAAUCAUAAUAAUUCAAUGAUCAACAUGAUAACAAGGCUAAAAUAAUCACUACAUCACAAUUCAAUACUAGUUCAUAGCUUAAUACAAGAUACAUGGGUCAAUUCACAACAUACUAAAUAAACUAGAUCACUUCUGAAGAACUAGAAUGAAAGGACUAUAAUUCACCCUAAUUCAUUCAUUAUUAGUAUAACAACAUCAUCUAGUAGUAAUUUAAUCAAUAACCAGGUCAAUUCAAGCAAUACAAUAUAAUUCAUAUCAAGAUACCUAGGGUUAAGGGGUAAAGUUCAUCUUCUACAAACAGACCAUACCAUCAAGAUACAUCAUAAUUAAGUUAGAAUACAUGUUAAUAUAUUAAUAAUAUAAAAAUAAAUCAUAAAAAAUUCAAUUCAUAACAUAAUUUUUGAGAUUGGAUAAAACCCACUUGAAAACCCAGCUUUGGAAAUCAAUUUGAUGGAACCCUUUGAUGAAAGAUAUCCCAAAGGUGAAAUAGAUCCCAUACCUUUCUAAUUGAUGAAGAUUGAUGGUGAAACAUGACUCUUUUCAACCCUUACACCCUGCCCUAGAAUGGUUUUCAAUGGAGUUCUUCGUUAGAGAGAGAAAGAAGAGAGAAGGUGGAGAGUUAGGGUUUGUGAGUUAUGAGAGUUUAGAUUAGUUCAGUUGGUUUGGGGUCUUUAAUAGGGUGUUAAUAAACUUAAUUAGGCUUCAUUUAACCCCUAACUAACUAUCUAACCCCUUAAUUAAUUAAUUGGAACUAAUUUAAAAUGUACAGAAAAUCAGGCUCUCACAAAUGAGAUAUCGACCAACGGUCCGUCGGUGAGUCGACGACCCCUACCUCCUUCCAUGUUGCACAUCUGUAGGUAAAUUCAGAUACUAGUACAAAUGUACCAUUAGAAAAAAUUUCUAAGUGUUGGUUGACGGAUGGCAUGGACGCCCCAUCGAUGCACACACGCCCCGUCGUUACCCUUCAUGGGUGCACACGGCCCAGAUAGUCUUUGACACAAAAUGCAAGGGUCCUCCUCAGGAGCCCUUGUUUGGUCCUUGGGGAUUCGUACCCAAAACAUUUCGACUAUGAACCAACUUAAACACAUUUUAGACACUCUUCCACCAAUUUUCAUCAUUUUUCGAAUUAUAAAAGUUAGUCAAAUAGGCUAAGGCACGCUAGCACCUCAUUAAACUAGUUUCCGAACAUCAUGGACGUUUUGGUUUCUAGACAUCCUAAAUGCCUUAUAUUAAUCAAGAUGGACCUUUAAAAAGGGUCUACCCCUUAUGCCACUUACUUUAUAUCUAGAACACGUCUUGGAUUUUCGAAGUGUUACAUUGAGCAUCCUUCUUAUUGUUUAACCUUGUGUUUAUAGGAGAUGACUUCUUGAAGGAUCUCCGCAAGAAGGUUGGGAGACGAAAAAUUGAAUAAGGGAGUUUCCCCAAGGUUAUCAAGUCCCUUUUGUGAGUGAAGGUAAUGAGGUUCUGGUGGUUCCGCGAACAUGACUAAUGGGGAGAUUAAUGAGGCUGUCCUUGCACUAGCUCGAGUGAUAACGACUCAUGUGAAAUGAGGUGUUUAUCAUAAGGUGAAUGUUUUAGAGGGUACCAUGAGCUUUAGGUUGGGAGAGUUUGUGAGGAUGAAUCCUCCUAUCUUUCUUGGCUCUAAGGUGGGAGAGUAUCCCCAAUAGUUUCAUGAUGGUGUAUAUAAGGUGUUGAGUGUUAUAGGGGUGAAUCCUAUGGAGAAACUAGAGUUGGAAUUGUACCAUUUGAGGGAUAUUUCUCAAGUAUGAUACAAUAAAUAGAAAGAUAAUAGGCCGAUAGAGUCGGGUCCUAUAGAGUGGAAAGAGUUCAAGGAGCCUUUCUGAAGAAAGUACUUCCCAUGUGAGAUGAGGGAGGUGAAGCUCGGAGAGUUCAUUGACCUUAGGCAAAGUAAUGUGGAUGUUGAAGAAUCCAUGCUUAUGAGAAGCACAAGGAUUAUGAAGAGGAGUAAAUCUUAUGAGAUGAACCAAAUUAUGUUUAAGAAGAGGGCCCUAAAUCAAGAUGGGGUUAGUGCUUCUAAGGGAAAGCUUGAGAGAGGUGGUGGUUCUCGAAUUAUUAAGCCUACUUUUUCUACUUAUUGGAAGAAGCAUGUUGGGAAGUGUCUAGCCGGAACUUCUAUGGUUGUGGUGAAGAUGGCAAGAAGGUGAGAAACUGUAUUGCUAAUGCGGCUAAAGGAAGGAAGGCCAAGCAAGUUCCUUCUUAUGAUCCAGAAGAGUAUGUUGGCAAGUUCUAAUACUCUCUCUUACGUGUUAUGAGUUCCUUCUAAGUGCGUGAGUAUGGUGAGUAGAGGAGUUGUGGUUGUUGUCUCUUCUCUUCUAUUUUACUUAAUCUUGAGAGUUAGAAAGUCAUAGUAGCAUGUUGUGUUGUAUCUAGGUGUUUUGUAGAAAUUGAAUUUCAUUGAUUCCUUGCAUUGUGCAUUUUAUGAAGAUAUAGUUAUGCUGUUAAAUAAGUUUAUAUGGUUUUAUCUCUCAUAUUUUCAUGCUUCCAUCAUCAAUUGCUUAAGAGUUGCAUUUUUGAAUAGUUGAGCAUAUGUACUAUUUUGGUGUUCACUGUGAAAUUUUUGGAAAUUGACUAAAUUGAUCUUUUGUUGAAAAUUGUUGUGAUGUGUAUAUUAUUGAUGUAUAUAAGCAUGAUAAUUAAUGGAGAAGUAGUUCCUCCUAUUUGAAAUGAAGAAUGUGAGUCUUAUUGCAUGAUGACGAGUAGAUUUGUUUCUAUGUUCAUGUUGUCUUUUGAGUCUCUUAAGUUUGUGAAAUUGUUGUUCUUCCUAAAUAUGUGUAUUGUAUAUGUAUGGUGGGUAUGUUUAUGUGCUUCUAGUCUUGAGUUUUUUUCUCUUUAUAGUGUCUAAAAUAAAGCAAGUGUCAUUCGAGGACGAACGUUGUCCAAGUAAGAACGAAUGUAAAACCUCUAAAAUGACUUAGGUGAAAAUAGAGCCUAAAGCUUCUGUCCUGAAGUUCUUAAGUCCUAAAAUGGUUUAUAAUUAUGUUUAUAGGAAGUGUCUAAAGUUUGGUGAAGUUGGAAGUCUGAAGUUCAUGACGUUUGAAAGGUUUGCCUUGAAACGUGCUUCUGUGCCUUAGCAUGUUUCGUCAAGUUUUACCUGUUCGUUUUGAAUGAAAUUGAUGUGAAGGUCCUCAACUUGUGUAUGAGUAUAAUUGGCUUGGAAAUGUCUGGGAAAAAUGUUCUUGUGAAUAUUUUCAUUUUUGUGCUACUUUUCAUAUAUGUAUGCAAUAACGUCCGAGAGGUCAAGUACGCCGAGUCACACACUGAGAGUGUCAUAUCUUUGAGGGUGUACUCUAGGGGUGUGACACAUGGUGAGCCAUAGCAUACGAUAAUCGGCAAAAUAAGGGUCAUGCGCACUUCGAUACUCGUUUGGCCUUGCGAAUUGGCCGGCAUGGCCGCGAGGGCCAACAGACUACAUAGCGAAUAUGUCUUAAGGGACGUUCAUGAGAAAUUUGGCAUUUUGGAUGUUAGAAAUCCGGAUCACAAAAAAAGAUGAGGACUAUAGCACAUGCUAAUCAGUAAAAUGUUGGGCAUGCGCACUUUAUGUUUGACCCAGUAAAUGGGCCGACAUGGCCGUAAGGGCCAAAAGACUGCAUAGCCAAUGUCUUACGGAUGUUCAAUAGAAAUUUCAACAUUUUGGACGUUAGAAAUCCAAAUUACUAACAAAGAUGGUGAGCUAUAACCCACGAGAAUUAGCAAAAUGAGGGGUAUGCGCUUUUUGAGGUUUGUUUGACCUAGAAAAUUUGGCGGCAUGGUCAUGAGAGCCAAUUGGCUGAAUCUUAAAGGUCUUAACAGAUGUCCAUGAGAUAUUCCAGCAUUUUGGACGUUAGAAAUCUGAAUCACCAACAAAGAUUGUGAGAUAUAGCACACUAUAAUCAACAUAAUUGGGGAUAUUCACUCUUCCGAGCUCCUUUGAGCUUGAAAAUGGGUCCGCAUGACUGGAAGGGCGAAUCGACUUUAUAGCCAAGGUCUUAACAGAUGUCAAGAAUAAUUUUUUGAAUUUUUGAUGUUAGAAAUCAAUAUCACCAACAUAGAUGGUGAGCUAUAGCACACGAUAAUCGGCAAAAUAGGGGCUAUGCGCGCUUUGGGACUUUUUUGACCUUCAAAAUGGGCCGGCCUGACCGUGAGGGAAAAGCGACUGCAUAACUAAGGUCUUAAUGAAUGUUCAUGAGAAAUUUUGGUAUUUUGGACGUCAGAAAUAUAGGUUACCAAUCAAGAUGGUGAGAUAUAGCACACAAUAAUCACCAAAAUGGGGAUCAUACGCGCUUUGGGACUCGUUUGACCUUAUGAAUUGUCCAUGUCCACGAAAGCCAGCCUGCAGCAUAUCCAAGGUAUUAAGAGACAUGGACAAGAAAUUUCAAUAUUUUGGAUUUUGGAUAUACGGAUCACUAACAAUGAUGGUGAGCUAUAUCACAAGAAAUUUCAUGCACGCUUCGAAGCUCGUUUGACCUUGAAAAUUGGGCCAAAAAGGACGUGAAUGCCAACUGGCUGCAUAUCAAGAUCUUAAGGGACGUUCACGAGAAAUUUUAGCAUUUUGGAUUUUGAAAAUCUAAAUCACCAACAAAGAUGGUGAGCUAUAAUUGGAAAAAAUGAGGGUAUGCUCAAUUUGGUGCUUGUUUGACCUUGAAAAUGGGAUGACAUGGCCGUGAGGGCCAACCGUCUGUAUAGCCAAGGGCUUAACGGACAAACACAAGAAAUUUCGGCAUUUUGGACGUCGGAAAUCCGGAUAACAAACAAAGAUUGUGAGCUAUAAUAUAGCACACAUUAAUAGGAAAAAAGAGGGGUGGGGGUAUGCACACUUCGGGACUCAUUUGACGCUGAAAAUGGGUUAGCAUGUCUGCGAGGGAAAAUUGGCUGCAUAGACAAGGUCUUCACGGUCAUCCACGAGACCUUUUGACAUUUUGCACAUCGGUAAUUGGGAUUCACAAUAAAGAUGAUGAUCUAUAUCACACAAUAAUUAGAAAAAUAGGGGUUAUGCGCAAUUCAGGUUUGUAUUUGAAAAUUGGCCAGCAUUGCCAUGAGGGUUAACUGGCUGGAUAGCCAAGUCUCUACGGACGUCCAUGAGAAGAUUUGGAAUUUUAGACAUUGGAAAUAUGGAUCACCAACAUAAUGGGAGCUAUAGCACAUAAUAAUCAGCAAAAUUUACGGUAUGCACAUUCAGCUCUCGUUUGACCUUAAUAAUAGGUCGGCAUGGCCGCGAAGGCCAAUCCACUGUAUAGCCAAUGUCUUAAUGGAUGUUCACGAGAGCUUUCGACAAUUUGGAUGUUGGAUAUCUGGAUCUCCAAUAAUGAUAUUGAGUUGUAGAACAUGAUACUCGAAAAAAUAGGGGUUAUGCACACUUCGGGGCUCAUUUAACCUUGAAAAUUGGUCAGCGCUGCAUUUUUGUUAUUUUGGACGUCAUAAAUCAAAAUCACCAACAUAGAAGGUGAUCUAUAGGACAUGGCCGUGAGGGCUAACCGUCUGCAUAUCAAAGGUCUUAAUGGACUUCCAUAAGAUAUUUUGGCAUUUUGGAUUGGAAAUCUAGAUCACCAACAAAGAUGGCAAGGUAUAGCACACGAUAUUCAAUGAAAUGGGGGUAUGUGUGCUUUAGGGCUCGUUUGACCUUGAAAAUUUGCUAGCAUGGCCGCAAGGGCCAACACGCUGCAUAGCCAAAGUCUUAAUGGACGUCCAUGAUAAAUUUCAGCAUAUUUGACUGUCACAUCCGGGGAGCACCCCUAGAUGUAACCGACGUCGUCGUCCUCUUUUAGGACCAAGACUAGACUCUUAUCUUACAUCAUUACAUUCAUUGGUAAAAUUUAGCAGAAAUUUAGAACUUUUUUAUUUAUUCUACAUUGAGGUUUACAUAGACAUAUACAUACACAUAGUAUAUACAUCAAAUUUGAUAGACCCUUCGUGUAGUAAGAUUACUUAGUCUUCUAAUUUUAUUGCACAUAGAUAUAUGGAAUAUAACAGUCUUAAAUAGUCAUCUCAUCUCAUAACCAUCUAACAAGAGUGUAAUAAUUUGGGCCUAGCCCAUAAAUCAAUAUAACAAGACCACAUAUAGGUCAUAUAAUGUUUAGUACACAAAUGACAAGGAAAGAACAUAAGAGUGUUAAUGCUAAAACAACUUCAUAAGCUUGAUAUUGGCAUUGCACUCGCAAAGUGAGGACCUACCUAACUUAGAUGAUUAAGAAUUUCAAGUCUUCUUCAAAGUCGCCUCCAAAAGCCCUUCAAUGUUCGAAAUCUAAUAUAUUGGCAAAAAAGGAAGAAAUUGGGUUAGUACACAACUUGUACCAAGUAUGAUACCAUAUGCACACAUAUCUUGAAAUAAUGCAAAAAAGGGACAUUUCAUAACGGUAUGCAAUUAUUUUGAAAAGCCUUCAAAAUGACAUAGUGUCAUUUGCAUGUAAGAUCAUCAUAUACAUAUAAUUUAAAUUAAUAAGCAUAUACAUACAUAAGAACGUCCUCCUAAGACUUCCCUCAACGCUAACUAGUGUAAUGUUUACGUAGAGUCCCGUACCCCUACCUAGACUAAGCUAAACGCCUUAUCUCAUCUUAUUAGAGUUCAAUCCUUUAGUUCAUUUUACCUUUUGGUAACAUCUUGCCUUAACCUACAUAGACCAUAUCAGCUAAUAUGGAAUCCGGUGACAUGAAACCCUACACCGAAGGAAGCCGGUGUCGUGAAACCCUACACCGAAUAAGUUGGUCGACCCGCCACAGUAAAACCAAAUAUAAACAUUAGCUUCCUAGGUGGAUCCACUAGCUAUUCUUCCUAUGGUGGAAACAUAGUUCAAUAACUAAGAGAUAGGUACAACCUCUCUACAUGCCACUUUGAAAUAAGAGCCUCCUUUCAUGGGAAUAUAGAAAGUGAGUAUCCCUCUUAAGGGAGUCAACACCUCAUGUGAUGCUAUAGGGUGAAUCUUCCUCUAUUGAAAGUCAACACCUCCCAUUUUUAAGUUCAUAGGGACCCUUUAUGAAAUUUCUUUAAUACUUUUAUUAAUCAUCAUAACUUAAUGUAGAUAAUAGGGUCUAUGGUUGUAUAAACAUCAUCGUCAUCGUAGCUCAAUAAGAAUUGCAUGAGUAUAGUACUUCCAUUACAAUUCAUACAAGUGAGGUUAACACAUUUACAUAGUAAUAUCAUAUUAAAGCACAUUGGUAAAUGAUUAUCAUCCUUAUAACAUUUACAUCUUAGCCAAAACCUCACAAACCAUAGUCAAUACAUUUUUCAACAUAAUACCAACCCUCCUAUCAAUCCUUACACAAGUCAUACUUCAAUAUAACAUCAUCACUUAACCACAAGUAACAAUAAUUGAAGUAAAGAGUUGGGAUCACAAACAUACCAAGUCUCCUUCAUAACUCAUCAUCAAGGUCUGACCAUCAACCCUUAAUUCAACCCAACAAGGGUACCAUAUCAUCACAUAUAAAUAACCAACAUGAUAACAAAGUCAAUUGAGUCACUAAAUCAUAAUCCAUUACUAAUUCAUAGCUUAAGAUAAGUGGCUUAGGUCAAUUCCAUAAUACACUUCAUAACCUAGACCAAUUACUCACGAACUAGCAUGAGAUGACUCUAAUUCAUCUUAAUCUAUUCAAAAUUGAUACAGUAAGAUAAUCUAGUAGUAAAUCAACCAAUAACCAAUUCAAUUGAACCAACAUUACAUAAUUCAUAUAAAGAUCAUAACUUAGGUUUAGGGGAAUAGGUCACUUUCUACAAAUUACACCAAUCCAUCAAGAUGUAACAUAAUAGAUUUAAAAUUCAUGUUAAUAUGUUCAAAAAUCCAAAAGAAAUCAUAAAAAAUUAAUUCACAACAUCAAUUCGUAUUGGAUGAAAAUCCACUUGAAAACCCAACUUUUGAAAUUAAUUUGAUGGAACCUUUGAGAAAAGUGGUCUCAAAGAUGAAAGGAAUCUCAUACCUUAAUAAUUGAUGAAAGUUGAUGAAGAAUUUCUACCCUUUUCAUCCCUUGGAUCCACCUCUAGCUUUGUCUUCAAUGAAGUUUCUUAGAGAGAGAGAGAAGAGAGAAGGAAGAGAGUUUUGGGUUCGGGAAUAAUGAGAGCUUAGUUUAUCUAAUUAAUUUAGGGGCUUUAAAUAGGUUGUUUACUAACUUAAUUAGACCUUCACUAACCCCUAAUUAACCUCCUAACUAAUCCAACUAAUUAAAUGAAUUAAUUCAAAGCGUGCAACAAAACACAGACCUCACAGAUGAUACCACGAUCGACGGAUCAUGUGUCAAUCGAGGGGUACUGUGCACCUCCGUGCUGCACAUCCGUCGAUGAGUUCAGAGACUAUGUAGAAUGAAACCUCAAAGAUUUUUUCUAAGUUACCAUCGGUGAAGGCAUCGAUGCCCCAUCGAUUCACCAAUGGCCCGUUUGUGGCAUUCAUUGAUGACACUGUCCGUUGACAACCUUUGGUCACUUUUUCAAGGGUCCUCCUCAAGGGCCCUUGGUUGGUCUUGUACAAGCCUUAGCUAUCAUUCAUUACAAAAGAAAUGAAAAGUAAAACAUCUUUCAUAAAAGCUAAGGAUUUGAUCUCAUCUACACAAGCCAACAAAAAGAGACGAUAUCAGUAUCUUAGGGACACGACCUUUUUACAUUAAAUGAAAAAGACAUAAUCAGUCUUUAGAAAAGAAACUAAGAAGUACAACAACUAUACCUCUAAUAUAUGAGGACAUACUUAGUCUUGAGAGAAUCUUUCAGAAGCUUGUCUUUUAGUUUUCAGACAUGCCUCCAACCUAUACUUAUUAAGUAUAGGAAAGUACAGGGUUAGUAAAAAACAAUGUACUAAGAAUGACAUAUGCAAAAACAUUCAAAAAUGGAUAUUUUAGUAAACUAAGCUUUCAUGCAAAAUAAGAAAAACUUUCAUAAUUUAAUAGUUGUAAUAGUAUAAGAAUCAUCAUAAAUAGCACAUAAAGCAGGACUCUCAAAAAUUUUUGAAACAAAAUACACUUUACAGUAGUAUUAGAAAAUCUUACAGUGAACACAGUGACAGAUUACAGUGAAUAACAUUACAGUGAGCAUUUUCUCCCAAGCAUAGUGAACUCAUUUUUUCGUGAGGUUUCCCUUCUCAAAUAGGACCUAUAAGUUACACUAAGUGUAAGAGUAGCAUCAAUACUACUACUCCCACUUAGUUUUCCUUGAGGAUUCCCUUAGAUUAAGCACCCCACAUUAGUCACUCCUAACAUGCUUCUUAACAUUAGACAUUAAGUUAUCUAACUUCAUUUACAACACAUGAUAGAACCCACCAAGACUCCCUUUUUGGAAGGUCUACUUAGUGCAAUGAAUAGAUAGUGUCCCAUACGACCACCUACCCUAAGUAGUAUUUUCUUUUAUGAGACUUAGUUCAUAAGUUUUAUAUAAAUCACACCAAGACUCUCCUUUUAGAAGGUCUACUUAGUGCGAUGGAUAGAUAGCAUCCCAUACCACAACCUACCCUAAGUAGUACAUUCUUGUAGGAGACUUAGUUCUUCCAUUCUUUUGUAGGGAAAUAACUUUAACCGACAAGACCAUGAGAGCUAGACAUAGAAUCCCGAUACUACCCUUAUCGUAUGAGGGCUCCCUACUACCUAGGGUGGGGUCUUUAUCUUAGCUUUUACAUGGCUUUUCCAAUAGCUACACCUAUAAGGGGGCAUAGUUAUGGGAUAAGGACAUUGCUACUAAGUAAUCACUCUCUACUAACAAGGUAUAGUCAUCUCAAGAGGUACAUUGGGUACAACAUCUCUACUCACAAUGUGCAACCCACCCAUUCUUCAAAUCCUGUCGGUGCUAAGCAUAACUUCCCCACGGAGUUUAAAAAUUCAAAACUAAGGUCAAGGAUAAAUUUGACAUCCCAUCUCUACUCACAAUGGGUAUCCAUACUCCAACCUUAAUUAUAAAGCUCUUGGGAGGUAGUGAGGUUGCUACUAAACACAUCAUCUAAACUCACGAUGAGUGCUCACCCAAAACUCCUCUUUUUCAUUCACAUUCUUUAAAGUGUGAGUGUGCGUGUACAUGUGAGCACAUGUUUCAUAUAAAUCAUCAUUUUCAUAACAUUAAACACUAGACAUGCUUACACUUUCAUUCAUAAUUUCUCACAUACUAGCGUGAUCAAGAUAUACACAUACUUCAUUUAGGUAUAAUCUAAAUAAGACAUACAAUUCAAGCUUCAUAAAGUACAUCAACAUGAAUCUCAUCAUUUUCACUUCAAUUCACACGUUAGGCCUUCAAAGCCACACUCAGAAUACAUACCAAAUAUAUAUCAAAAUACAUCAAGUAAAAACCGCCCCCAAGAAGGUAAACCAUACCACUCAAGAGCAAUUUAAAAUAAGAAUAAUGCAAUAUAAGUAACUCACCAUUUAAACAAGCUUUUACCACUUAUAAUCGAUUCCUCGACAUUUCAUUAUAGUGAGGCCCUUAGGGUUGAAGCUAUACCAUAUUAACAACAUAAAGAAACCAAAUCUCAAAUACUACAUAAACAUGGUUCAUUUAACCCGUUUCUAAAGCUACAAGUUGAAAAUGUGCAUAAGCAUGAGUUCAUUGGGGGUUUAACAUUAAAAUCAUCGAUUAAUACUAGAAGAAACCUAUUUGGAUCAUUAAACCACUUUUACAUGAAGACCCAUGCUUAGAAUAAAAACUAGGAGAAAAUAAAGUUUGAAAACACUUUUUGAAAUCAUUGAAAAAUCACUCCUUGAAUAGAAGGGGGUUCAAGGAUGACUACAAUACCUCAAGUAAAAGAAAACCCCUAAUUUUUAUGAAGAAACACAGCGAAACCACCCCUCCUAGUCGACCUUGAAUUUUAGCUCCAAUGAUGACUUUGAGAGAGUUUGAAUAUUGAAGUGAGGGGUAGUGUCUAGGUCUAGGAUUUAAAAACAAUUUAAUAUAUAUUAAAACACUAAAAAUAUGGUCCAAUGGUUAUAAAAGACUUGAGUGAAUUUAAAAAAAACCUCAAGUCAAGGCAGCAGACCUGGCAGCUUUUGCAGGCCACUAUUGACGUCUCUCAACGAUGGACUGUUGAUGCUUCAAUGUCCCAUUUAUGAGGGCUUGUGGUUUGGGUCUUUAACUCCAAAACCUGCAGGCAUUCAUGUCCAGUCGACAGAUCAGGUCGACGAGCCGUCGUCUGGUCUACUGGUCCUCGACUGGCUCAUCGAUGGACACUGUUUUUGGCAGUUUUUGUCUAGAGUUGGGGUCCUCUUCUAGGGCCCCUUAUGGGUCGUAGAUGGAGUCGCUGGAUGUUAAACUCCUAUACUAAUUAAUAUAGGUAUUAUUAACAUCCCACAUCAAUAUCGAUUAAAAUAAACAUGUAAAUCCUACUCAAAAAAAUUAAGACACAUGAACACUUUCUAAGACACACCUUCCUAAUGUCAUGGACGUUCUUGGACAUUUGACCUCCAAACUUAACCAAACUUCAUACACUGCCUAAGGAUACUAAUAUAACUCAUUUUAUUACAAAAUUAACUUAAGAAACAAUUACAAAGAUCGAGUUCACCUUAGUUCAUUUUAGGGUGUUACAAAAAUAGUCCUUAAACAAUGUCUAAACCUUUUGACACUUAUUUUAGGCUCUAGAACACGUCUUAGAUUUUUUAAGUGUUACAUGGACGUCAGAAAUCUGGAUCGCCAACAAAUAUGGUGAGCUAUAGCAUACAAUAAUAGACUAAAUAGGGGAUAUGUUCACUUCGAAGCUUAUUUGACCUUGAAUAUUGGCCGACAUGGCCACGAGGCCAACUGGCUCAUAGCCAUGCCGUUAAAAGACUUCCACGGAGAAAUUUUAGCAUUUUGGUCGUCAAAGAUCCAGAUCACCAAUAAAUAUGGUGAGCUAUAGCACACGAUAUUCGACAAAAUGGGGGUCAUACACGCUUCAGGCUCGUUUGACCUUAAAAUGGUACCAUGGUCGGGAGAGCCAAUCGACUGCAUAGCCAAGGUCUUGACAAACGUGCACGAGAAACGUUGGUAUUUUAGAAGUCAGAAAUCCAAAUCACCAACAAAGGUAUUGAGUUAUAGCCCAUGAUAAUCAGCAAAAUGGGGGGUAUUCAUUCUUCGAGGAUCGUUUAAACCUUGAAAAUGGGUUAGCAUGCCGUGAGGUCCAACCAGUUUUAACGGACAUCCACGAGAGAUUUUUGCAUUUUGAAUGUUAGAAAUUCGGAUCACAAACAAAGAUGGUGAGAUAUAGCACACGAUAAUUGGAAAAAUAGGGGGAUGCAUGUGCCAGGGCUCGUUUGACCUUUAAAAUUUGACGGCAUGGUCGUGAGGGAGAACCGGCUACAUAGCCAAGGUCUUAAUAGUCGUCCAUAAGAAAUUUUAGCAUUUUGGAUGUCAUAAAUCCAAAACACCAACAAAGAUGGUGUCACAUCAAGGGAGCACCCCCUAGACGUAAUAGGUGUCGUCAUUCUCGUAGAAGAUUAUAACUAGCCUCUUAGCAUUCAUCAUAACAUAUCAUAGGUUAAAUUACGGAAAAUUUAAAACUUUUCAUCUACACUUACAUAAUGAGGUUUACAUUGACCUAUCACUUACCCAUAAAUAUAUACAUAGGGAGUUUACAUAGACUCCUCGCAUAGGAAGCACUACAUAGGCUUCUACUUUUAUUUCACAUACGUAUACAUAAAGAUAUUCUAAUAGAAAAUUGUCUCACAUUUAAACCAUCUAGUUUGAGUACAACAUUCAGGCAUAAAUCUUACAUCAUGACAACAGAAGGCAUAUAUGGUAGGCAUAUACAAUAAUAGUCUUCAAAGAGAAUGAACUAAAUGUCUUUAAUACUGAAACAAUAUCCAAUAGGUAGAUAGUGGCAUCAUCCUCGAAAGGGGAGGACCUACCAAACUUCAAGAAUGAGAGUCCAAGUUAUCUUCAAUGACCCUCUAUAAGAUUAACGGCCAGAACCUACAUAAUUGUAGAAACAUAGAAAUAUGGGUUAGUAAACACUUGUACUAAGUAUGGAAACAUGCACCUAAAAUAUACAACACAAGACUAGCAUUAUCAAGUAUAACAUCUUUGAGCACAGAACCAAAACAGCCCUAACAUCAUGCUAUAACAACAAAGCAUAUACAAGAGUUUCACAACAUUACAUCAUAUGCAAGAUCCUUACUCAUAACCCAUCAUCAAGUCUACAAGUGCAAUGACCAAGUAAAGCCCCAUAACCUUACUCAAUCAAGUAAACCAAACAAGGACAACAAGCAAUGUAUAUCCUAACAUAGCAUAACAUCAAGAGUAGCCAUCACGACAUUUAGAAAUAUAGACCAAUAACAUGUUCAUAUAGUGUCAUACACAUGUAAAUUUAAUGUAUGCAUAAUCAUUUACUUUACAUAAAAUAAGAAUAACCUUCUAGGGCUUCCCUUAAAGCCAACUAGUUCAAUGUAUAGGUAGAGUCUCAUACCCCUACCUAGACUAAGUCAAUCCCUCAAGUCACCCUAGUUUGUGUUAACUUCUUUACAUCAUUUUACUUUCAAGAACACUUGCCUUGACCGACAUAGAUCACAAGAGCUAAAUGUGGAACCUGGUAUCGUGAAACCCUACGACGAAAGUAGGUGGACUACUUGUCAAGGUAGAUCAAAACAUGAACAUAGCAUUCUAGGUUUUCCACUAGCUAGUAUUUCUAUAGGGCAACAUAGUUCAAGAACUAGGAGAUGUGUAUGGGAACCUUUGUAUGAAUAUUGCAUUAUUGUCUCCAAUCUCAUGAAUACAAUAGUGAACCUUCCCUAUUUGGGAAGGGACACUCCUCAGUACUAGUUCACUCUGUGCUAAGCUAGACUCCCUUUUUGAAAUGUCUUUAAUCCUUUAUUAAUAAUCAUAACUUAGUACAGGCCAUAAGAGACUAACCCCUUUUAUAUCAUAUCAUUUUUUCACGAGGAAUUGUGACAAUAUCCUUACAAUAGGAUUCUCAUACGUGAGAUCAGCACAUCAAAAUUAUCAUGUCUUAAUAAGGCACAUAGGCAUUACCAAUAUUAUAUCGUCACAUCUUAAACAUGAUCUCACACCUUCACAUAAUCAAGACAUUUCUAUUACAUCAUCAUACCAACACCUACUUAAUCAAUUCAAAGUAUAUGCUUCAAUUGAACUUCAUCACCAAGUACAAGUCAUCACAUUGGAGUAAAGGUUCAAGAUCACAAAGUCUUAUCGAUUUCUCCUUCAAAAGCCAUCAUCAUUGGUUUUACCCUCAACCAAUCAAAUUUCAUCGAUCAAUAGGUGUAAUAAGAUCAUACAAUAGUAAUUGACACAAUAACUAAGUCAAUUGCAUCAAUACUAGUAAAUUUUACAUGAGUGCGUCACCUAGGGUUAGGGAAUUAGGGUCAAUCCAUGAUCUAUUCCACAUAAUAGGUUAAAUUAUCAAGAACUAGUGUAAUUGAACAAUAAUAUAUCAUAAUCUAAUCUAAUCAUAAUCAUCAAAAGGAAACCAUAAACAAUACAAUUGACAAGUUCAAUUUUGGAUUAGGAAGAUAUCCAUAUGAAAUCAUCUUUUUGAAAACCAAUUUUAAAAUAACACUUUGGGGAAAGGUUUCAAUCCCUUGAUAUUCCUUGAAUAUUGAUGGAGAAGAGUGAUAUUCUUGAAGCCCUAGAACCCUUAGAACUUGCUCUUCAAUGGAGUCUUCUUUGGGAUAGAAAAAGUGGAGAGAAGAUAGAGUAAUUUGGGUUUGGGAAUUGUGGGGUGUUAAGUGGAGUUUAGGCUUAGGGUAGUUUAUAUAGACUAUCAACUAAAUUGAUUAAACACCCUUAACCCUAAUUGAACCCGUUACUAAUUAAAUAAUUAAUUGAACUCACUUAAAACUAGACAGUGAAAAUGCAGACUGGCAUAUGAGAGCCCGACCUAUAGUCUGUAGGUUAGUUGACACCCAUAUCCCCCCACCGCCCUGCAGGUCUGUAGGUAAGUUCAGAGACCGUGCAAUUUGGCCAUUUUGCAAAAAAUGACUGGGUGUCCAAUGAUGGAGGCAUCGAAGCCCCAUCUUUCCACCUAUGCCUCAUCGCCUGCAACCGUAGGUAGACACUUCCUAAUGAUAGCUUUUUGGACAAAACAGAAGGGUCCUCCUCAAGGACCCUUAGGGUAGUCCUUGGGGAGUCGUAACCGUACGUUUCGACCCUUAACGUACUCUAGUAUAUGUUUGACAGCUUUCAACAAAAUUUUAUCGAAUUCCGACUUGUAAAACCCCGCUAAAUAGGCUAAGCCACACUAGCACCUCUUUCAAUAGUGUCCAAGCGUCAUGGACGUUUCUUGACGUCUUCACUCUAAAACUUACUACAUGACUUAUAAAUAAUUUUUUGACCAUAAUAUCGUGUUACAAACUUUAGACACUCAUGUGAGGCUCUAGAUUAGGUCUUGGACUUUCAAAGUGUUACAUUAUCCCCCCAUUAGGAACAUUCAACCCCUAAUGACACUCAAAUCUUUUAAUGGGAAAGGAUAGACUCAAUACUAGCAGCUCAACCAACAAAAACAUAAUCAACAUGAGUUACAACUGAAAUCAACAAAGCAACAUGUCAUUUACACUUACCAACUCAAAACAUCAUUUAACACAUAUAAGAGCCCAACAUCAAAACAUUAGGAAUUUUCUUCUCAACAUCAACAGGAGCUCAUAUAACAUAAAGAGUCACUUACAUCAAAACUCGUUUCAAAACACAUCAACAUUCUACAUGCUUAAUAUCAUUUUAUGAAUGUCACAACAUACCAAAUAAACUAUAAAGUGUAAUUUAAGACAAAGUGCAUCUGUCCAUCAAAAUUCAUUUAGCAAAAUCUUUACCUAAUCAUGCAUAUAUUUACAAAACAAGUCAAAUUUAAAUUAACCCAUUAUUUGCAUUAUUAAUAGGAACAACUAACCUUAAUUAGCAAAGAGAUGAGGAUAACGGGACUUAAUGUCGGCCUCGGCUUCCAUGUUGCUCUCUCAACUAGGUGAUUUGUCCAUAACACCUUUAGAGAGUCCACCUCUUUGUUUCUCAACUUCUUCAUAUGUCGAUCAAGGACUUCCGCAGGAACCUCUUCAGAGGAGAGGUUCUUAUCUACAUCUAGACCUUAACUAGGAAGAAUGGACUUGGGGUCACCAAUGCACUUCUUAAGCAUAGAGACAUGGAAUACCGGAUGAACUAAAGCUAGCUUACUAGAUAAUCUCAACUCGUAUGCAACCUUACCAAUCAUUUGACAAAUUUCAUAGGGACCCACAUAACGAGGACUUAACUUCCCUUUCUUGCUAAAUCUCAUCACCCCUUUCAUGGGUGAAAUUUUUAAAUACACCUUGUUACCUUCUUCAAAUUCUAUUUCUCUUCUCCUAUCAUCGGCGUAAGACUUUUGACGGCUAGAGGCUGUUUAAAAUUGGUUCCUUAUGAUAUGAACUUUCUCCGUAGAAUUAUAGAUCAAUUCAGGACCAAAUAGUUAAGUCUCGCUAACUUUAACCCAACUAAUCGGAGAUCUACAUCUUCUACCACACAAAUCUUCAAAAGGAGCCAUGGAUAUAGUUGAAUGGUAAUUAUUGUUAUAAGAUAACUUAACUAAAGGCAAGUGCCCAUCCAAAUUUACCUUUAAAUCUAUCACAGAAGCUCUAAGCAUAUCCAAGGGUUUGAAUAGCAUACUCUGCUUGACCAUUCGUUUGGCAAUGAAAAGCAGUGCUUAACUUCAUUUGAGUACCCAAACCUUUUUGGAACGAACUCCAAAAGUGAGAAGUAAAUUGAGCACCUCUAUCUGAAAUGAUGGAUAAAGGGAUCCAUAAAGGCUCACAGUCUCAUUGAUAUAGAUCUUUGCAUACUCUUCGACCGAAUAAGUAGACUUAAUGGGGAUGAUGUGACCAGAUUUUGUCUACCUAUCCACAACCACCCAUAUAGAGUCAUUUUGCCUUUGUGUCCGAGGCAAACCCACUACGAAGUCCAUAUUAAUAUCUUCCCACAUCCAAGCGAGAACUUACGUUUCUUGAAGUAAGCCAUCAGACUUUUGGUUCUCGGCUUUCACUUAUUAGCAAUUUGGACACUUUGAAACAAAUUCUGCUAUGUCCCUUUUCAAGCCAUCCAAACAAAACACUUUUCUAAGAUCAUGAGACAUCUUAGUAGAACCCGGAUGAAUCAAAUAACGAGAAUCAUGAGCUUCCUAUAGGAUCUGGUUUCUCCAAUCAUCAUCCACAUAGGGUACACAUAACCUCCCUUGGAACCUCAACCCCCCCCCCCACGAGGAGAAUGACUCAUUAAGCUUACCAAGAACUGAUUCUUUUAAAUCCAUCAAUGAUUGAUCAAGGUGUUUCUUAAACUUAACCUAAACAACCAAACACGACUCAGAGUUAUGAUGGACCAUAAAACCACCAUUAGGAGAAUCUUCCAAUCGAACACCCAAACGAGUCAACCUAUAGAAAUCUUUCACUAGGUCUUUUUUGCCCUUUUCAAAAUGAGACAUACUACCUAUGGUUAUAUGACUUAGUGUCACGACCCAACCCGAUGGGCCGUGACUAGUGCCCGUUUUGGACACCCACAUACAAACCUGCUAAGUAUAACCAACUGAAACUAAGACAAUAUGGAAUUUAAUCAAAUCAAGCCAACCCCAACGUCAUAUAUAUAUAAGAGGACCUGUCUCAUAAAGAGUCAUAACCAUUCAACCAUAACAGCAUACGCGAGCCGACAAGGCCGCCACUAUUCAAAGCAUAAUAACAUACGUAUGCCGACAAGGCUGCCACUACACAAUACACAAUGAUGUACGCAGCGACAAGGCUGCCCCUGUACAGGCAGACAUCCCAAACAAACCAUGUCCAGACCAUUAUCCAAAACAUAUAUAUACAACCCAUAUAAUGUCCACAAACCUCUAAGAGUACAUUAGUGAAACUCGACGGGACAGGGCCCUGCCAUACCCAUAGACGAGCAAAAGACUACACAAAAGUUAUGUACCAAAACGAAUGGGCUCCGGAACAGUGGAGCUUUCCCAAUCAGCAGAGUAGAUAUCCUAGGCGGGAGGAUCACUGAACUGUGCGUCUACACCUGCAGGCAUGAAACGCAGCCCCCCGAGGAAAGGGGGGUCAGUACGGACAAUGUACUGAGUAUGUAAAGCAUAAGGUAAAGAUGACAGGAUACCAAUAUGGCAAGUCGAAACAAAAUAUCGCUACACAUAUACCCUUUUAAGUGAAAAUCAUGCAUAUAUUUAACAUUUAAGGUGCCCAGCUUCCCUAGUAAGGGGCUCGGCAAAAUAAUCAUCACUUCAUCUCCGUCAUCAUCAUCAUCAUAACCAUCCUCAUCACCAAUCAUAUAUAAUAUACAUACCCGGCCCUCUAGUGAGGAACUCGGUGACAUAUGCAAGAAACUCCGCACGAACAUUACCCGGCCCGGGACUCGGUGAAAUGAUAAAUGACUCUAUGCACGAGCAGAAUAUUAUGAGCAACCAUAUGCAAUUAAAAUCAUUUCUUAUAACUCAAUAGAACAAUCAACGUGAACCAGCAAGGAGUAUUACCAAAGAUUAAUGUUUUAUCAAGAUUAUGAACCUUUAAUACGAUAUGGAAACGUAAAAUCUCAAUGACUCUAAGAAGCACUACCAUAGAUAUUAGAGAUCAUCAUAGCCUUAGACAUAGCCGAUAUAUAGAGGAAUAAUUGUGGAAGCAAGAAUAUACGUCACCUAGACGCUGUAGAGGUAAGUAUCAAAUCUGUCCGUUAUUCGCUUAUUUUUAAAAGUCAUGCCAAACAAAGAAAGAAGGAACCGCAUACCGUAUAAUCGAGCCGCACGUCCAAUAUUUACUGCUCAAGCUAUUAAUCUAUAACAAGCAACAAUCGUGCCGCAAUUAAAUAAACAUCGUGCUUUACUUUCUUGUAAGCAAGCUAAUAAUCUAACGAAAAUUCGGCAGCACUUCCCCUAUUUUCCUUACUUCGUCCCAAUCCGACAACAAUCCAAAUUAUCCACAGCAAUACCAAUAACACAUAUAACCCAAAGAAUCAUAUUAAACAGCCCCCUCCCCAAAACAGUUCCGUCUCGGCAACCAUAGCAGCGAAGCAACGACACACCGAGCGAUAACUCAUUUUAUAAUUCGCAACACAUCUUCCUUAUCGUAUUCAUACUUUGGAGUAUAUACUCAUAAUCACAUUCAACAUAUACAUAAUGCCAAAACAGAAUUUUCCUGCAGUUUGCUUUAAUCAAAACAGUCCAAGCACCAACACGAAACCACUAAUAAUCCGAUUAUGGUUUCCGUUCAUACUUAGCACAUUCAAUAACUAAAACAAACUUCCUAAGCUACUGGUCACGCCCCCUUCUUAAAAUUAAUGGAUAAUUAACAAGGGUAUUCUAAAGAAUUAACACACCAAACAAGGAUAUUACUAACCAAAUUAUUUGCAGCUGCUGGCCAAGAGUUGCAGGGUUGGUUUCUCCAUUUCCAUGGCUGCCUAAGACAAGUGGUGAAGAAGAAGAUGAUAUGCAGCAAUGGUUUCACCACUUUAUUUAGCAUGGAGUCGAUUUCUCCACCUCAUUUAAUAGUAUGAAGUGGAGGCAUCCCCCCUCUACACCUGUCCACUAAGGCCAGCCCACAAUCUGAUCCCUUUUUAAUUUUUGCCUUGAGUGGUGGGGCCCACUGGAUUAAAUUAAUCCUAAUCAGCCACCAAUUAUGAGUGGUGGGGCCCAUUGGAUUAAAUCAAUCCAAAUUAGCCACUAAUUAAUCCCUCACUUAAAGUUAAUGGCACUUACAUUAGCCAACUCAUACUUAAUAUCACAUUUGGAAAUAACAUCCUUUCCUAAUAUUUCUUUACGUCUUCUAGAUCACGAUGCGCACUACGUAUAAAAAAAAUACGAGGCAUAACACUUAGAGAAUCCACAACAACAUCGGCCUUGCCAGGAUGGUAGAAAAACCUCAUGUCAUAAUCUUUCAACAAUUACAACCACCUUCAUUGUCGGAGAUUUAACUCCCUUUGAGUAAACACAUAUUCAAUACUCUUGUGGUCGGUAUACACAUGAUCAUGGAAACCAUAAAGGUAGAGCCUCCAUAUUUUCAAGGCAAACACCACGACCUCUAACUCAAGAUCUCAUGAGUAGGGUAGUUCUUCUCAUGAACCUUGAGUUGUCUAGAAGCAUAGGAUAUAACCUUCCGGUGUUGCAUAAGGACAACCCAAUACCACUCGAGAUGCAUCACAAUAUACCAUAAAAUCGUUAGUACCCUUCGUUAUACUCAACACCAUAGUGGUGGUAAGCUAGAGUCCUUUUUUGAAAUGUCUUUAAUGUCUUUAUUAAUCAUCAUAGCUUAUUGUAGGCCAUAAGUCACAUUGGUAAAUCAUUCACCCAUCCUUAUAACAUUUACAUCUUACCCAACACCUCUCAAACUAUAGUCGAGACAUUUUAAUUCAACAUCAUACCACCCUAUCAACCCUAUACAAGGCAUAAUCCAAUACAACAUCAUGAUUUAAUCACAAUUUGAACUAAAUUCAACACCGGAGUGGUGAUAAACCGAUCUGAGCUCUAUCUUUGAGAAAUGGAUAGCACCUUGAAGUUGGUCAAAGAAGUCAUCAAUACUAGGUAUGUGAUACUUAUUCUUGAUUGUGACCUUGUUCAACUGUCUAUAAUCAAUGCACAUUCUGAGAGAACCAUUUUUCUUCUUUACGAACAACACUAGAGCACCCCAUGGUAAAAUACAAGUUCUGAUGAAGCCCUUAUCUAAAAGGUCUUUCUACUGCUCUUUCAAUUCUUUAAGCUCCGCUGGAGCUAUUUUGUAAGGAGGAAUAGAAAUAGGGUAGGUAUCUUGAAGGAGAUCAAUUCUAAGGUCGAUUUUUCUUUCGGGAGGGACUCUAAGAAGAUCUUCUGGAAAUACUUCUGGUAACUCAUAGACUACUGGAACUAAUUCAAGAGUUGGGGUUUCAGAGACAGAAUCCUUAACCCAAACUACAUGAUAGAGAUAACCCCUAGGCGCUACGGUACUACCCUUCCAUUCUAAGAUUAGUUCAUUUGGAAACUGAAAAUGAACAAUCCUAGUUCGACAAUGGAUUGAGGCAUAGCAGGAACGUAACCAAUCCAUGCAAAAAAUGACAUCGAAGUCUACAAUUUCCAACUCUACAAGAUGUGCUGAGGUGAAUUUCUGAGAGAUUGUGACAGGACAAAUUUUGUAUACCCGUCAAGCUAUAACUGUGUCACCAACUGGAGUAGAGACUGAGAAAGGUUCUGAGAGAGAUUCUGAACUAACAAUGAAUUGGACUGCUAUAGUGAGUUACAAAACACAAAGUCUCUCUAUUGUUUUUCCACUAAGUGAACCAUAUUGAGUCACAUCCUUAAGCUAGUAGGAUGUCAAGUUCACCUAUCACUACCAGUUACUUGCAUCACACAAAAUAUUUUCUUGACUUUAUUAAUGAACUUCUAUGGAUUCUUACAAUCUUGCGACCAUAAAAACAUAAGAGGAUUCAUCCUAACAAAAUCUAAAACUCUGUCUGCAACAGAUCAAUCAUUUCUAUUAGUAGGAACUAAAACCUACUAAUCGUUCUUGUUGGUCAUACUCUCAGCCAACAUUUGUAUAUAGUUUCUGAAGUCAGCAUUGGAUACUUCCUGAUCUAGGACCGAAGUAGCUGCGUUUGCAUUCCUGGCAUUCACAUUCCUAGCGUUAGCUCUAUGAGGAGGCAUGAUCUAAAACAUAGAAGGCCAAGUUAGAAUUGAAUAAAAUCAUACCUCACGCAGAAAAGAGUAACAAGAAAGUGAAGUUUUUCCUAAAACAGUUCAUAGCCUCCCUCUCAUUAGAUGUGGUGCACUACACACCCAUGAAAAGGACUCUGCUUAGUGCAGCUUCUCAGAUAUCGCUGAAUUCUUGAAUCUAGUGCUCCGAUACAAAGUUUUGUCAUGCCUCGAGCUACCCCCGAGACGUGGAUAUAGAACCUAAGGCCAAGAGUGAUCCUAAGCUAACUCUGUUGGCACGAUCAUGAGCAUACUAAAGAUAAUAUUGAUGAGUUUAAUACAAAGAAAUUAUUAACUCAAUAUUACUCAAAAACUAUCUAUAUCUGAAGUAAGCCUCUAUUGACUAGAAAUACUGGGACAAGCCCCAACUAAGUCUAGCAAAAACUGAAACUCAAUGACUAAAAGACUGAAAUCAACUCAUGUCUAUUGUCCUCGGAGAAUGAGGACUCACCACUGAAUCUACUGAAUUGGAGAUCGAGAAUAGAUCUAAGCAUGAUUUGAAUGCUGAGAACCUGAACCUACAUCAUGAGAAGAUGUAGCGCAUGUAUGCGUCAGUACUUGAACGUACUAAGCAUGUAGGAUAGAGUAAAGCUGAAAUAAAACAUAACUCAACAAUCGUAAAAGCAAGUAUAAUAAUUUGAACAUGAUAUACUGAAUUUUUAGCUAACUAGAUGCAAUGACCAAUUUAUAAUAUGCUGAAACUGAAUACUGAAUAUACUAAAAAAUGGUCAAUGCAAGAGAGUCUGACUGAAUUGUGGGAGCUACUAAUAACUGAUAAUAAAAGCACAUGAGCUAAAUGUGGAUUCCGAUGUAUAGGCCCCAUUGCGAGGACCCAACAUACCCUGCUAAAGGUAUAAAUGCAUGCUGGAGUGAUCACUAAACUGAUUGACCACAGAGAGAACUUACAACCUACUUGGCUAGUAGUUCUGGACUAAUUGGGUACGCUAAACCAUAGUCCAACUCGGUAUUAUGCUACUCCAAAUGAAUUAUGCCAUUAACUGAUUAUGAGUUUAUGUAAAUACAUGAUAUCUCAAAAUUGAACAUGCAAACUAAGAAUGCAACAAUUAAUGUGUUAACUAUGCAUUUAUAACUGAGGCAUGUAUGUCUGAAGUAAUUUGAAUCUGACCUAGUAUGUUUAAUCCAGAACAAAAGAAAUACAUAGCCAGGGUUCCGAAAUCCAUGCAUUAAACUGAAUAAUAGCCUUACAAUCUGAUUUGGAAUAUAUAACUAAUAAAUUCAUGAAGUUCUGUUGAUUUUCUAGAAAACCUAGGUCUAAUCAUGAUAUGGGAAUCAAAAAUCUGACUGAAAAACUAGGGACCCAAUGGUGAAAGGAAUCAACUAGUGAAAUCCCACAUACCUAGUGAUGAAAUUCACGGAGAAACACUUAGAUUUUGGGGCUAGAACUGCUGGAACAUUGCUGCAUUCUUGAACUAGGGUUCUUGACCUUUUUUCUCCUUUCUUGCUUCUAAUUUUCUAUGUUUUGAUUAAUGAUUUGACUUAGAUAAGUUUUAGUUAUAUUUCUAAGCUUAAACUAACUAAAAUAUAAGGAUUUAGGGUAAAAAUAAUGUUUCUUAGGGUUUAAAUAAAGUGGGAAAUAUUUAGGGUAAAAAUAAUGUUUCUUAGGGUUUAAAUAAAGUGGGAAAAGACCAAAAGACCCCUACGUUAAACGUUGUCGAAGUCAACUGACUGACCGUAACUCGACUGAUGCUUCGUACUAGUAAACUGUUGUUGUGACUGAGAGUUCAAAGUUAGCUGGGGAACCGAUGGAGUUUUACUGACGUAAGUUCACUGCCGGUUCGUACUGGUCAACCAUCGUUUGCGACUAAGAACUAGAAGUAAGCUGAUCAAUCGACGGAGUCAACUGAUAGACCACAAGUCAAUUGACAUUCUGUACUAGUCGACCGUCGUAUGUGACUUGGAACUGAGAGUCAGCUAGACCAUAGACGCAGUCGACUGACGGUCCGUAGCUAGCUCCGAAGCUGGCACCUACAACUUUUUAAAUCUGUAUUUUUUGUACUUUUUUUGAUACGGGGUGUAACAAUGUUGGUGUCACAUUUGCUUCCCAUGUCAUUGUCAUUAUCUAUAGUCCAUAUCUGUAUGUCUUCUACAAUUGGUCCAAACCUCAACAAUGAUUAUGACCACCAAAACAUCAAUCCCAAAUGAUUUACUACAAACAAAAGAACAAUAUCAAAAGAGUUAUGAUUAUACAAAAGUACAUAGUCUCAAAAGAGUUAUAAAUAUCAAAGCAACAAUCUCAAAGAUUAAAAAGUUUAAGUGAAGAAAUUUUUAUAAUUAUGGGUGGCAGCCCAGGGGCAAAGCCUAGCAUGGGUCAAUCCUAAUUGGUACAAAAGGGUGGCCGCUCAGGGGUGAACGCCUAGCAUGGGCCGAUCUCGAUUGGUAUAAGAGGGUGGAAGCUCAUGGUCGAAAGCCUAGCAUGGGCAUUCCAAUUUUUGGAAUUAUGAGGACAACAUCCAAGGGUUUAAUAUCCCUAUCAUGGGUUGUGCUCACCUUCCACUGAUCAGCUGGUCAUUUCUAUCAUAUGGCUUACAAAAAUUUAACGCACAAAAAAGUAAAGAAAAGAAUGUAACAUACACAAUUCCACAAGUAUAAGCAAAGGUGGUUAAUCCUUAGCUACUGGUAUUAGGUUUCACAUCGGCUCUGAUGUCACAUAUGGUUGUAUUGUGCCUUACAUAUUCAGUACAUUCUUUCAUACUGACGUCCCUUAUUGGGGCGCUGCAUUUAAUGUUGCAGGUACAAGUGUUCAAAAGUAGAUCUCCCCAAUAGAAGUUCAUGAUACUCAGAUAUUGUCGGUGUGCUCCAGGUUGAGUUGAGGCAUUUAUGAGUCUUUACGAUGCGUAUUUUCAAAGCAUGGAUUCCAAUAGUGGCUUUGUAGACAUUGUAAUGCUAUCAUCUGUUUCAUAGCUUCACUUGUCACAUGUAUUGGUUCAGCUAGUCAAAAUGUGUUGUAAAUAAAGCUUUUCAUCACUAAUCUGCAGUUUAAUUUCGCAUCAUAGGUUACUUGUAAAGCAUGUAUUUAUACGGUACUUGUCCUCCUAACCAAGUGUUGGGGUGUGAAAUCUAGAUACACAUAGUAUUAUAUAUAUAUCGAGUAUACAAAGACCCUUCGUAUUGAAAUAUUAAAUAGUCUUCUACUUUAUUGCACAUAGGUAAACAAAAUAAAACAUAGUCUCAAAAUUGUGGUAUCAAUUCAUUACCAUCUAAUAGGAGAAUAUCAAAUUGGGCCUAGCCCAUACACCAAUGAAACAAGACGACAUAUAGGUCAUACAACGUUUUAGUAUCCAAAUGAAAAGGAAAGACACAUAAGAGUAUUAAUACUAAAAAUAACAUCAUGGCUUGAUAGUGGCAUCGCCUUAGAAAAGUGAUGACCUGCCUUACUUGGAUGAUUAAGAAACCCAAGUCUUCUUCAAUGUCAUCUCGAAAAGCCCUUCAACGACCGGAACCUAAAAUGUUCGGGAAAAGGAAACAAUGGGGUUGGUUCACCAUUUUAAUAAGUAUGAGACCAUAUUCACACAUAUCAUAAAAAUAUGCUAAAAGGGACAUUUCUUUAAGUACACAAUUUACUUUGAAAACCUUUAUGCACAUUCAACAAGACUAUACCAAAUCAUUUAGGCAUAUUCAUUAAGUAAUAGACAUGUGCAUCACAAGACAACAACAUCAAAACUAGUCAAUUCAACAUGCAUAUCAUGUAAUUGAAUACAAAGUCAAGUAACUCUAUCAUCAAGUCAUAAAUAACCACAAGCAUGAAUAAGAGUACAUUUCAUCAUAAGCAAAGUAAGACAAUUACCCAUGAACACCUAUCAAGUCUACAAGUGCAAUUACCAAGCGAAGCCCUGUAACCUUACUUGAUCUAAUAACUCAACAAGAAUCAUAAUCAACAUUCAACUUCAAAUCACGACAUUUAAGAGUACAUAGCAUCAUACUUUCACAAUAUUGACCAGUACAUAUUCAUAAGUGACACCAAUCAACAUAUCGUAUCAACGAUGUGCAAGUUCACCUUAUACAUAUCAUGUAGCAUUAAUUCAUACAAAACAAAAUCCUCCUAAGACUUCCCUUAAGGAUAACUAGUGCAAUAUUUAGGUAGAGUCCCAUACCCCCGACCUAGAUUAAGCUAAACCCCUUAGGUUAUCCUAGUUAGAGUUCAUUCAUUUAUUUCAUUUUACAUUUUAGGACAUCUUGCCUUAACUGAAAUAGACCACAUGAGCUAAUGUGGAAUCCGGUGUCAUGGAACCCUACACCGAAAGUAGGUGGACUACUUUCCAAGGUAGUAUCAAAACAUGAACAUAGCAACUACGUGGAUCCACUAGCUGGUAUUCCUAUUCCGGAAACAAAGUUCAAGAACUAGGAGAUAUAGUUGGAAUCCUCCUUAUGCUACAUGCAUUAUGGUCUCCAAUCUAAAGAGUAAUUUAGUGAUCCUACCUUUCCUAUGUGGGAAGGGACACUUCUCACUCUAAUUCACUCGGUGCUUAGCUAGAGUCCCUAUUUGAAAUAGCUUAUUGUAGGUCAUAGGGUCUAACUCUUGUAUAAUCAUCAUCAUCAUCUUAUCUCAAUAAGAAUUUCAUGAUUAUAAUCCUUUCAUUACAAUUCAUAUAGGUGAGGUCAUCACAUUAAAAUUUUCAUAUCAUGAUAAGGUACAUUGGUAAAUCAUUCAUCCAUUCUUAUAACAUUUACAUCUUAGCCAGCACCUCUCAAACCAUAGUCAACACAUUUUAAUUCAACAUUAUAUAACCCUAUAAAUACUAUAAAUGACAUACUCCAAUACAAUUUCAUGAUUUAAUCACAAUUAACAGCAACAUGAAGUAAAGGAUAGGGAUCACAAGACUUACCAAGUCUCCUUCAUAACCCAUCAUCAAGGUCUUACCAUCAAGCCUUAACUCAAACCAAUAAGGGUGUAACAUCAUCAUAAUUCAAUAAUAAACAUGAUAUCAAGGCCAAAAUAAUCACUACAUCACAAUCCAAUACUAGUUCAUAGCUUAAUACAAGAUUCUUGGGUCAAUUCACAACAUACUUCAUAACCUAGAUCAUUUCUCAAGAACUAUCAUGAAAGGAAUAUACUUAACCCUAAUUAAUUCAUUAUUAGUAUAACAAUAUCAUCUAGUAGUAAUUCAAUCAAUAACCAAGUCAAUUAAAGCAGUACAAUAUAAUUCAUAUCACGAUCGUCACUUAGGGUAAAGGGGUAAAGUUCAUCUGCUAUAAACUAGACUAGACCAUCAAGUUAUAUCAUAAUUAAGUUACAAUACAUGUUAAUAUAUUCAUAAUAUCAAAAAUAAAUAAUAAAUAAAUCAAUUCAUAACAUAAUUUUUUAGAUUGUAUGAAACCCACUUGAAAACUUAACUUUUGAAAUCAAUUUGAUGGAACCCUUUGAGGAAAGAGGUCUCAAAGGUGAAAGAGAUACCAGACCUUUUUAAUUUUGAUAAAUAUUUAUGGAGAAACAUGACUCUUUUCAUACCUUAAACCCUCCCCUAGCAUUGUAUUCAAUGGAGUUCUUCACUAGUGAGAGAAAAAGAGAGAGAAAGAAGAGAUUUUGGGUUUGUGAGUUGUGAGAGUUUUGAUUAGUUUAGUGGGGCUGGGUGUUUUAUGGGGUGUUAAUGAACCUAAUUAGACUUACCUUAACCCCUAAAUAAAAAACUAACCCCUUUAUUAAUUAAUUGGAACUAACUUAAAUGUGCAGAAAAUCAGGCCCUCAUAAACGAGACAUCGACCAACGGUCUGUCUCUAAGUCGACGACCCCUGCCUCCUCCUGUGCUACACAUCCAUAGGGAAGUUCAGAGACUGUUCCAAACGUACCGUUAGCCAAAAUGCUAUGUUUUGGUCAAUUGAUUUUAUUGACGUCCCAUCGAUCCACAAGCACCCCCUCGUUACCGUUCGUGGGUGCACACUAUCAAGACAGUCUUUGACCCAAAAUGCAAGGGUCUUCCUCAGGGGCCCUUGGUUUGUACUUGGGGAUUUGUACCCAAAAUUAUCGACUAUGAAUCAACUUAAACACAUGUUAUACACCCUUCCACCAAUUUCAUCAUUUUCCAACUUUUAAAAGUUUGUCAAACAGGCUAAGACACGCUAGCACCUCAUUGAACUAGUUUCCGAAUGACAUGGACGUUCUUGGACGUUUUGGUUUCUAGACUUCCUAAAUGACUUAUAUUCAUAAAAAUAGAUCUUAAAACAUUUUAUACACAUUAUGAAACUUACUUUAGCUCGAGAACACGUUUUGGAUUUUCGAAGUGUUACAAUGAUCAUCCUUCUUAUUGUUGUCCUUGUGUUUAUAGGAGAUAACUUAUAUAAGGAUGCCCGCAAGAAGUUUGGGAGAGGAACAAGUGCAUGAAGGAGUUUCUCAAGUUGAUAACGUCCCUUAUGUGAGUGAAGGUAAUGACGGUUCGGUGGUUCCCCCGCAAAUGACUAAUGGAGAGAUUAGAGAGGCUCUCUUUGCACUAGCUCGAGUAAUAACGACUCAUGUGAAAUGAGGUGUUGAGCAUAUGAUGCAUGUUUUAGAGGGUACCAUGACCUCUAGGUUGAGGGACUUUGUGAGGAUGAAUCCUCAUAUGUUUCUUGGCUGAAAGGUAUGGAGAGGAUCCCCAAGAGUUUCUUGAUGGUGUGUAUAAGGUGUUGAGUGCAAGGGGGGUGGCUCCUAUGGAGAAGGCAGAAUAGGAUUCGUACCAAUUGAGGGAGGUUUUUCAAGUAUCGUAAACACAAUAGAAAUAUAAUAGGCUAGUUGAGUCGGGUCCUAUAGAGUGGGAAGAGAUCAAGGAGGCUUCUCAGGAAAGUACUUUCCACGUGAGAGGAGGGAGGCGAAGGUCGGAGAUUUCAUUUACCUUAGGCAAGGUAAUGUGGCUGUUGAAGAAUCCAAACUUAGGAGAAGAGCAAGCUUGGAUUUUGAAGAGGAGUAAAUCAAAUGAGAAGAAUGAAAUUACGUUUAAGAAGAGGGCCCCAAAUUAAGAUGGGGUUAGUGCUUCUAAGGGCAAGCUUGAGAGAGGUGGUGGACCUCGAAUUAUAAAGCCUACUUGUUCUACUUCUCGAAAAAAUCAUGUUGGGAAGUGUCUAUCCGGAACUGAUAUGGUUGUGGUGAAGAGGUUCAUAAGGUGAGAAUUUAUAUUGCUAAUUCGGCUAAAGGAAGGAAGGCCAAGGAAGUUCCUCGUUAUAUUCCGAAAGAGGAUGUUGGUAAGUUCUAAUAUUCUCUCUCAAAUGUUAUGAGUUCCUUAUAAGUGGGGGAGUAUGGUGAGUAGUGGAGUUGUGGUUAUUGUCUCUUCUCUUCAAUUCUACUCAAGCUUGAGAGUUAGAAAGUCAUAGUAGCAUGUUGCAUGUUGCAUUGUGUUUAAGAGUUUUGUAGAAAUUGAAUUUCAUUGAUUCCUUGCAUUGUGCAUUUUAUUAAGAUAUAGUUAUGCUGUUAAAUGAGUUUAUAUGGUUUUAUAUCUCAUAUUAUCAUGCUUCCAUCAUCAAUUUCUUAAGAGUUGCAUUUUUUAAAAGUUGAGCAUAAUUCACUGUACUAUUUUGGUGUUCAGUGUGAAAUUUUUUGAAAUUAUACUAAAUUUUUCUUUUGUUGAAAAUUGUUGUGAUAUGUAUAGUAUUGAUGUAUAUAAGCAUGAUAAUGAAUGUAUAAGGAGUUCCUCCUAUUUGAAAUGAAGAAUGUGAGUCUUAUUGCAUGUUGAGUAGUAGAUUUGUUUCUAUCUUCAUGUUGUGUUUUGAGUCUCUUAAGUUUGUGAAAUUUUUGUUCUUCCUAAAUAUGUUAUGCCUCGUAUUUUUUUUAUACGUAGUGCGCAUCGUGAUCUAGAAGACGUAAAGAAAUAUUAGGCAAGGAUGUUAUUUCCAAAUGUGAUAUCAAGUAUGAGUUGGCUAUGUAAGUGCCAUUAACUUUAAGUGAGGGAUUAAUUAGUGGCUAAUUUGGAUUGAUUUAAUCCAAUGGGCCCCACCACUCAAGGCAAAAAUUAAAAAGGGAUCAGAUUGUGGGCUGGCCUUAGUGGACAGGUGUAGAGGGGGGCUGCCUCCACUUCAUACUAUUAAAUGAGGUGGAGAAAUCCACUCCAUGCUAUAUAAAGUGGUGAAAUGCAUUGCUGCAUAUCAUCUUCUUCUCCACCACUUGUCUUAGGCAGCCAUGGAAAUGGAGAAACCAACCCUGCAACUCUUGGCCAGUAGCUGCAAAUAAUUUGGUUAGUAAUCUCCUUGUUUGGUGUGUUAAUUCUUUAGAACACCCUUGUUAAUUAUCCAUUAAUUUUAAGAAGGGGGCGUGACCAGUAGCUUAGGAAGUUUGUUUUAGUUAUUGAAUGUGCUAAGUAUGAAUGGAAACCAUAAUCGGAUUAUUAGUGGUGUCGUGUUGGUGCUUGGGCUGUUUUGAUUAAAGCAAACUGCAGGAAAAUUCUAUUUUGGCAUUAUGUAUAUGUUGAAUGUGAUUAUGAGUAUAUACUCCAAAGGAUGAAUACGAUAAGGUAGAUGUGUUGCGAAUUAUAAAACGAGUUAUCGCUCGGUGUGUCGUUGCUUCGCUGCUAUAGUUGCCGAGACGGAACUGUUUUGGGGAGGGGGCUGUUUAAUGUGAUUCUUUGGGUUAUAUGUGUUAUUGGUAUUGCUGUGGAUAAUUUGGAUUGUUGUCAGAUUGGGACGAAGUAAGGAAAAUAGGGGAGGUGCUGCCGAAUUUUCGUUAGAUUAUUAGCUAGCUUACAAGAAAGUAAAGCACGAUGUUUAUCUAAUUGCGGCACGAUUGUUGCUUGUUAUAGAUUAAUAGCUUGAGCAGUAAAUAUUGGACGUGCGGCUCGAUUAUACGGUAUGUAACGCUGUCCCUUCUUUCUUUGCUUGGCAUGACUUUUAAAAAUAAGCGAAUAACGGACAGAUUUGAUACUUACCUCUAAAGCGUCUAGGUGAUGUAUAUUCCUGCUUCCACAAUUAUUCCUCUAUAUAUUGGCUAUGUCUAAGGCUAUGAUGAUCUCUAAUAUCUAUGGUAAUGCUUCUUAGAGUCAUUGAGAUUUUACGUUUCCAUAUCUUAUUAAAGGUUCAUAAUCUUGAUAAAACAUUAAUCUUUGGUAAUACUCCUUGCUGGUUCACGUUGAUUGUUCUAUUGAGUUAUAAGAAAUGAUUUUAAUUGCAUAUGGUUCCUCAUAAUAUUCUGCUCGUGCAUAGAGUCAUUUAUCAUUUCACCGAGUCCCGGGCCGGGUAAUGUUCGUGCGGAGUUUCUUGCAUAUGUCACCGAGUUCCUCACUAGAGGACCGGGUAUGUAUAUUAUAUAUAUGAUUGGUGAUGAGGAUGGUUAUGAUGAUGAUGAUGAUGGAGAUGACGUGAUGAUUAUUUUGCCGAGCCCCUUACUAGGGAAGCUGGGCACCUUAAAUGUUAAAUAUAUGCAUGAUUUUCACUUAAAAGGUAUAUGUGUAGCGAUAUUUUGUUUCGACUUGCCAUAUUGGUAUCCUUUCAUUUUUACCUUAUGCUUUACAUACUCAGUACAUUGUCCGUACUGACCCCCUUUCCUCCGGGGGCUGCGUUUCAUGCCCGCAGGUGUAGACGUGCAGUUCGGUGAUCCUCCCACCUAGGAUAUCUACUCUGCUGAUUGGGAGAGCUCCACUGUUCCGGAGCCCAGUCGUUUUGGUACAUAACAUUUGUGAAGUCUUUUGCUCGUCUAUGGGUAUGGCGGGGCCCUGUCCCGUCGAGUUUCACUAAUGUACUCUUAGAGGUCUGUGGACAUUAUGUGGGUUGUAUAUAUAUGUUUUGGAUAAUGGUCUGGACAUGGUUUGUUUGGGAUGUCCGCUUGUACAGGGGCAACCUUGUCGGCUGCGUACAUCAUUGUGUAUUGUGUAGUGGCAGCCUUGUCGGCAUACGUAUGUUAUUAUGCUUUGAAUAGUGGCGGCCUUGUCGGCUCACGUAUGCUGUUAUGGUUGAAUGGUUAUGACUCCUUAUGAGACAGGUCCUCUUAUAUAUAUAUGACGUUGGGGUUGGCUUGAUUUGAUUAAAUUCCACAUUGUCUUAGUUUCAGUUGGUCAUACUUAGCAGGUUUGUAUGUGGGUGUCCAAAACGGGCACUAGUCACGGCCUAUCGGGUUGGGUCGUGACAAAGAGUGGUAUCAGAGCGGUUCUUCCUCGGAAGUGUCUACAGACCGUGUCUAGUAGAGUCUUGUUUAUCGGUGUGUUGUGCACCACAUCUAUAAACAGGAAGCUACAGGACAUUUAGGAUGUCAUUCUUUCUUCUUAUUCUAGAUCGUGCGAUAGAGCUAUAUUAACGGGAUAAUCCCUCUCUAACGAAUCCGUGUGUUUUCAGCUAUGCCUCCAAAGAAAGCGACAGCCGCCCAGAAGGGAAAAUCGGUAGCAGAAGGUACUAGUCAGACCCGGAGAGUUACUAGGGCCCGUGCCCAGUCUAUGCCUGGUAUUAUGCUCCAGUCGGAGAGCUCUGCUACACCCCCACCGCCAGAAGAGCUUAGAGCAGCAGCAGCUCCAGUUCGGGGGACACCACCAGCCCCCGAGGCCCCAACAUCUGAACCUCCAGCUCCUCAGUCAGGGGCGGAGGAUAGGGCCAUGAGAGAUGCGGUUCAAUUGCUGACUAGAUUAGUGGCAGAUCAGGCUCGCAGGCAUGGACUAGGAGUUGAUCAUGCGGACAGAUCUGAUAGCUUAAGGGCUCGUGACUUCUUAAGUUGUAAUCCUCCAGAGUUCUUUGGGUCAAGGCCCCAGGAUGAUCCGCAAGAGUUUAUUCGUCAGAUGCAGCGUACAUUGAGGAUAAUCAAGGCUUUGGAGACCGAGUCUGUUGAGUUGGCUACGUAUCGUUUGCGGGAUGUAGCUAUUAAUUGGUAUGAGUCUUGGGAGUUAUCUAGGGGUGAGGGUGCCCCUCCAGCGGUAUGGGAUGAAUUUGUGGAGGCUUUCCAGGGCCACUUCCUGCCUCCAGAGAUGAAGCGAGCUAGAGUUGAUAAAUUCUUGCGUUUGAAGCAAAAUGGAAGGAGCGUUCGAGAGUAUAGCCUCGAGUUUGAUUCAUUGGCUAGGCAUGCGCCUACUAUUGUGGCUGAUAUGGCAGACAGGGUACAUCGUUAUGUGAUGGGAUAUGGUUCAGGAGAUUCAGCGGCUAUCCAGCCUUGGAGUCCGUCUAGCUAAUUCGGAAGAUAGUGGAGUUUCUAUUCGAGAGGUUGAUGAGUCCUCAAUCAUAGAUGAGGUAAAGAGACACCAAUACAAGGACCCUAUUCUGGCACAGUAUAGAGAUGCAGCUCUUCAAAAGGAAAAGACCCUAUUUAAGGUUACACCUGAUGGAGUGUUACGAUAUGAAGGCAGAUUGUGUGUACCCGAUACUGCGGGGCUACGACGGCAAGUUAUGGGAGAGGCACACUCUGCCCGUUAUUCUAUUCAUCCAGGGUCAACAAAAAUGUAUCAUGACCUCAGAUGCUUAUAUUGGUGGGAUGGCAUGAAAAAGGACAUAGCAGAGUUUGUUGCUCAGUGCCCAAAUUGUCAACAAGUCAAGAUCGAACAUCAAAAGCCUGGUGGAUUAUUACAGGAGAUAGAGAUCCCGACUUGGAAAUGGGAGAUGAUUAAUAUGGACUUCAUUACAGGCUUACCUCGCACUCAACGGAAGUAUGACUAUAUGGGUUAUUGUAGAUAGGCUGACGAAAUCGGCCCAUUUUCUUCCAGUCAGGACUACUUAUUCGGCUGAAGAUUAUGCGAGGUUAUAUGUCAGGGAGAUAGUGAGACUUCAUGGGGUUCCCACGUCCAUUAUAUCAGACAGAGGAGCUCAAUUUACAGCCAACUUUUGGAGAUUGUUUCAGAAGGGAUUGGGGACACAGGUGAACCUUAGCACAACAUUUCACCCUCAGACUGAUGGGCAGGCUGAGCGUACUAUUCAGACACUAGAAGAUAUGUUGCGGGCCUGUAUUAUUGACUUCAAAGGCAGCUGGGAUGACCACUUGCCGCUCAUUGAGUUUGCCUAAAAUAAUAGCUACCAUUCUAGUAUCCAGAUGGCACCGUACGAGGCCUUAUAUGGGAGAAAGUGCAGAUCACCUAUUGGUUGGUUUGAUGUUGGCGAGACUAAGUUAAUAGGCCCGGAUGUGAUUCAGCAAGCUGUUGACAAGGUGAAGCUUAUUCAAGAAAGAUUAUUAGCAGCCCAGAGUCGACAGAAGUCAUAUGCAUAUAAUCGGCGUCGAGAUUUGGAGUUUCAGAUUGGUGACUGGGUAUUCCUGAAGGUAUCACCCAUGAGGGGUGUGAUGAGAUUCGGUAGGAAGGGGAAGCUCAGUCCGAGAUACAUUGGGCCUUAUCAGAUUGUUCGUAGGAUAGGCAAGGUUGCCUAUGAGUUGGAUCUACCAUCUGAUUUGGAGGCGGUACAUCCAGUCUUCCAUGUAUCGAUGCUACGUAAAUGUAUUGGUGAUCCUUCUAGAGUAUUCCCUGUAGAUGAUAUUCAGGUAACAGAGGAGUUGUCAUAUGAGGAGAAACCCGUGGCUAUACUUGAUCGUCAGGUUAGAAGGUUACGUACUAAGGAUGUGGCUUCCAUCAAAGUGUUGUGGAAAAAUAACAAUAGGGAGGAGAUGACUUGGGAAGCGGAAGACGAAAUGAAGAAUAAGUAUCCUUACUUGUUCCCCGUACCUGCAGGUAAUUCAAUUCCUAGCUUGACUAUAUUGAUAGAUAAUGAGAUUAUGUAGCUGUGAGGCAUCUGUAAGUUACAUAAUGCAGGUUGAUAGGUAUAACUUUUAGAGAGACCUCGCUGGAAUUUGUUUUUGCAAGACGCUAACUUAACAUUCGAGGACGAAUGUUCCUAAGGGGGAGAGGAUGUUAUGCCUCGUUUUUUUAUACGUAGUGCGCAUCUUGAUCUAGAAGACGUAAAGAAAUAUUAGGCAAGGAUGUUAUUUCCAAAUGUGAUAUCAAGUAUGAGUUGGCUAUGUAAGUGCCAUUAACUUUAAGUGAGGGAUUAAUUAGUGGCUAAUUUGGAUUGAUUUAAUCCAAUGGGCCCCACCACUCAAGGCAAAAAUUAAAAAGGGAUCAGAUUGUGGGCUGGCCUUAGUGGACAGGUGUAGAGGGGGGCUGCCUCCACUUCAUACUAUUAAAUGAGGUGGAGAAAUCCACUCCAUGCUAUAUAAAGUGGUGAAAUGCAUUGCUGCAUAUCAUCUUCUUCUCCACCACUUGUCUUAGGCAGCCAUGGAAAUGGAGAAACCAACCCUGCAACUCUUGGCCAGUAGCUGCAAAUAAUUUGGUUAGUAAUCUCCUUGUUUGGUGUGUUAAUUCUUUAGAACACCCUUGUUAAUUAUCCAUUAAUUUUAAGAAGGGGGCGUGACCAGUAGCUUAGGAAGUUUGUUUUAGUUAUUGAAUGUGCUAAGUAUGAAUGGAAACCAUAAUCGGAUUAUUAGUGGUGUCGUGUUGGUGCUUGGGCUGUUUUGAUUAAAGCAAACUGCAGGAAAAUUCUAUUUUGGCAUUAUGUAUAUGUUGAAUGUGAUUAUGAGUAUAUACUCCAAAGGAUGAAUACGAUAAGGUAGAUGUGUUGCGAAUUAUAAAACGAGUUAUCGCUCGGUGUGUCGUUGCUUCGCUGCUAUAGUUGCCGAGACGGAACUGUUUUGGGGAGGGGGCUGUUUAAUGUGAUUCUUUGGGUUAUAUGUGUUAUUGGUAUUGCUGUGGAUAAUUUGGAUUGUUGUCAGAUUGGGACGAAGUAAGGAAAAUAGGGGAGGUGCUGCCGAAUUUUCGUUAGAUUAUUAGCUAGCUUACAAGAAAGUAAAGCACGAUGUUUAUCUAAUUGCGGCACGAUUGUUGCUUGUUAUAGAUUAAUAGCUUGAGCAGUAAAUAUUGGACGUGCGGCUCGAUUAUACGGUAUGUAACGCUGUCCCUUCUUUCUUUGCUUGGCAUGACUUUUAAAAAUAAGCGAAUAACGGACAGAUUUGAUACUUACCUCUAAAGCGUCUAGGUGAUGUAUAUUCUUGCUUCCACAAUUAUUCCUCUAUAUAUUGGCUAUGUCUAAGGCUAUGAUGACCUCUAAUAUCUAUGGUAAUGCUUCUUAGAGUCAUUGAGAUUUUACGUUUCCAUAUCGUGUUAAAGGUUCAUAAUCUUGAUAAAACAUUAAUCUUUGGUAAUACUCCUUGCUGGUUCACGUUGAUUGUUCUAUUGAGUUAUAAGAAAUGAUUUUAAUUGCAUAUGGUUGCUCAUAAUAUUCUGCUCGUGCAUAGAGUCAUUUAUCAUUUCACCGAGUCCCGGGCCGGGUAAUGUUCGUGCGGAGUUUCUUGCAUAUGUCACCGAGUUCCUCACUAGAGGACCGGGUAUGUAUAUUAUAUAUAUGAUUGGUGAUGAGGAUGGUUAUGAUGAUGAUGAUGACGGAGAUGACGUGAUGAUUAUUUUGCCGAGCCCCUUACUAGGGAAGCUGGGCACCUUAAAUGUUAAAUAUAUGCAUGAUUUUCACUUAAAAGGUAUAUGUGUAGCGAUAUUUUGUUUCGACUUGCCAUAUUGGUAUCCUG
rnacentral:lncRNA from 1 species